rnacentral:lncRNA from 1 species
CCGGAGCGUCGGUCUUCUUGCUGGAGAGCAUUCAGUGUCGGAUUUCCUACUAUGUAUCGUCCUUCUUUCAUUUGUGGUCCAUUGUUUUCUAUUGUUGGUUUACAGGUUUGGAAGGCAGCCAUGCUGCUAACCUGACUUUGUGUUGCACAAGAGCUUCACGUCGUCUGAAUGCGACGGUGUUACUGCCAUGGAGAUCGGUGUUGGGAUAGGUGAUGGCUUGCUAUGAAAUUUAGUGCAUGAGAAAAUUGACUUAUUGUUGUGCUUGUACAACUGUGUAAUUUUUCUGAUUUUUUAUUUGUUUUUGUGAAGGUCAAAAUGUUGUGUCCGAGAAGUUCAAGUAUGUUAGUUUAUAUUGUAUUAUUGAGAAGCUCCAACUUGUUGUAGGAGUGCAUUGAGAAACAGAGUGAAAAUAUCUAUAAAAAUGUAAGUUCGGGAGGAUUAAAAAGGAAAAGGAAGAAAGAAAAAGCUCACACUUUUGUCGUUGAUAUUUACAGUGACAAAUAAGUAACAAGUUCAUGUUUGUCGACCAUUGAAGUUCAUGUAUAUGGUAGUUGAUGAUUGUUGUGUGCACUUAGGGGAGCACAAAAAAAUGCGGCUGGCCAAGGUCCGUGGAUGUUGAACUUUCGUUCAGUGAGUGGCGUGUGUCUCAAAAACAAAUUGUGUUCACAAAAACAAAAACAAAAAAAGAUACAAAAAAGAGACAAACCCAAGUAUUUUCGUAGGGAAAAUAAUGACAAGUUCAAAUUGUUCAAAUAUGGAAGCUCAAAAAUGUUAAAAAUAAAUCCAAAAAUUUCUAGUACUCUCCUCCCACCUAUUUUGUCUGGAUAUAAAAAUAUAGACCCUCUCUCUUGAAAACAAAAAAAACUAAGGAAUUUCACACACAAACUUAUAUGAAAGACCUAGAUAUGCAUGAAAAAGAAAUAAAAUCGUAAGUGUUCAACUUAAAAAUAAACUCAUGAAACUCAUUAUCGGGACAAACACAUUGGUUUUAUUGUCCACAUUUAUAAAAUAAAUAAUACAUAGUAAAAAUGUUGAGAAGUUCAAAUUAAAUUAAUGGGGUAGUUCGAUGUUUAAAACAUCUCAAAUUUUUUUCAUUACUAAAUAACAAAAAGUGAGAAGUUCAAACAAAAAAUAGAGCAAAUUAAAAUUUAUAAAAAGGGAUUUUCACUUUUUGUAAAUAAAAAACUCUAGAGUUCAAAUUUAAAUUACAGACCGGUUCAAUAUUUAUUAGAAAAAUAGAAUGUUUCCGUUACUAAAAGAAAUUAUCCAAGAAAUACAAANNNNNNNNNNNNNNNNNNNNNNNNNNNNNNNNNNNNNNNNNNNNNNNNNNNNNNNNNNNNNNNNNNNNNNNNNNNNNNNNNNNNNNNNNNNNNNNNNNNNNNNNNNNNNNNNNNNNNNNNNNNNNNNNNNNNNNNNNNNNNNNNNNNNNNNNNNNNNNNNNNNNNNNNNNNNNNNNNNNNNNNNNNNNNNNNNNNNNNNNNNNNNNNNNNNNNNNNNNNNNNNNNNNNNNNNNNNNNNNNNNNNNNNNNNNNNNNNNNNNNNNNNNNNNNNNNNNNNNNNNNNNNNNNNNNNCUUCAAUUUUUAAAAGAUGUUUGAUGCUUAUUUAAAAACACUUUUUCCUAAUAAUAAAACUUAGAAGUUCAAAUUAAAAUAAUAGAGAAGUUCAAAGCUUAUAAAAAACUAAAAUAAAAUCUCAUUACGAAAGAAUAAAAUAAAGAAGUUCAAAAAAAGGAAGAACCAAAAAAUGUUUAAAUAGAAAUGUUUUGUUUAAAAAUAUAGAAGAAGUUCAAACUAAACUAACGAAGUGGCUUGAUGUUUAUUAAAUUAUCAACCAUGAAGUUCAAAAUUCAAAAAUAGUCAAAUUCGAUGUUUAUUAAAAAUAAGAAACAAUUCAUUACUCAAAAAUAAAAAAAUGUGAAGUUCAAAUUAAAAUAACAUAGAAGUUCAAAGUAUAUUAAAACCUAGGAUUCGCAAGUUUAAAAACAAAAAACCAACGUCAUUAUGGGCAUAUUUAAAAGACAUAGAAGAUAAAACAUGUUUAUUCCGAAAUCGAGCAGUUCAAAAAGUUUGUAGACAUGGAUUUGAUCCUUCUCUUUAAUAUCUAGAAGUUCAAAUUUAAAUAAGUGAGCGGUUAGAUGUUUAUUACAUAGCAAGGACUUUCUCUGUUACUAAUGAAUAACACCAAGAAGUCCUAAUUAAAAAUUGAAGUUGUUUGAUGUUUAUAAAAAUUUCAGAUUUCCACCGAUGCUAAAGAUUACAACCAAGAAGUUCACUUUUAAAAAACGGAGCAAUUCAAUGCAUAUAAAAAACCCAGGAUUCUCGUUAGUAAUGAAUAAAACCAAGAAUUUCAAUUGAAAAAACAGAGCAGUUUGAUAUUUAUUUAAACGAAUCAGAUUUUUCCACUUACUAAACAAUAAAACAAAUAAGUUCAAUUGGAAUAACAAAGAAGUUUGAUGUUCCUAAAAAACUCCAGUUUUCACAUUUCUAAAAAACACACAAAAUUCAAAUAAAAAAGUUAGAGCGGUUCGAUGUCUUUAAAAAACUCAUACUUUUUUGUUACUAAAGCAAAAUAGGGAGAAGUUCAAAUUGAAAACGGCCAGAAGUUCAUGUGCUGCAUGGUGUGUGUUUUCAUAUGAGAAAAUAGAAUAAAAAGUUAAAGUAUAAACACUGUUGGAAGUUCAGGUGCUCAGCACGGUGAAGUUCAAAAACUUCUUAUGAGAGAGGCAACCAACACUAUAUAUCAGUUGUGCAACUAUGAUGAACGGGUAAGAAAUUACGAACAAAAAAACAUGGUAGAAGUUCAAGUGUAAACAGCGGGAAGUGCGAUGAUUAUAGAAAACUUAGAUUUUUCCCGUUAUUAAAGAAUGAAAAAAAGAAGUUCAAAAAUGAAACAACAAGAAGUUUAACUUUUAAAAAUAGAGUGCUUCAAAAUUUCAUAAAAAGAUUAAAGAAAUAAAAUCAGGAACUCCACAUUAAAAGAUGAAGAAGUUCGAUGAUUAUAGAAAACUCAGAUUUUCCUCGUUAUUAAAGAUUGGAAACAAGAAGUUCAAAAAUAAAAAACAGGAAGUUCAACUUUUAAAAAUAGAGCGCUUCAAAAUUUUAUAAAAAAGGAUUAAGAAAUUCAGAUAAAUAUUUAUAAAAAACUCAGAUAUUUUCACAUAACCGAGAGAAGUUCGAUUGAUAACUGCCAGAAGUUCACGUACUACACGGUGUGCAUUUUGUAUUAAAAAGGAAUAAAAAGGCAAAGAGUAAAAGUUGUGUUGUUAUAAGUGCAACUCCUCGGUCAAAGAAAGUUAAAAAAAUUAUUGUGAGAGGGGUUUGUACAAAAGGAGUAUCAUUUGUGUAACACUGACAAAUGGAUGAGAAAAUUACAAACGAAAAUACGUCACAGAAGUUCAACGUGAAAAUAGCAUGAAGUUCAACUACUACGCUGAAUGAAUUUCAGAUGAAAAAGUUUUAAAACCAUCGCGAGUAUGAAAAAACGAUCAACACGGUAAAGUUAUGUGCUUACAACAGCUUUCUAAUGGUAUAUCACUUGCUCAAUUCCGAUGAGUUGAUGGAGAGUUACGAGCAGUGGAUGGAGACCUACAAGAAAAAAAAUCACAUGAAAAACAGAGUGAAGUUCAGGUACACGCGCCGAGAAGUUCAGGUUCUUCACGCGGUGCAUUUUCGAAGAAUCUGUUUCGCGAUAAAGGCAGAAUGAAUGAUCUCGCCGUUUUCGAAAUUACAGGAAAACGGCUAGGAAUUAGAGAAAACCAUCAACAUGGAAAAGUUUCACAUUUUCCGUAGCUUUUCAGAGGUAUAUUAUUUGCCUCAUUCCGAUAAAGUUUGUAGAAAUUAUGGGGAAAAUAUGUUUUUAUCCAUUUUCCAAAUUGACUUAAAACCGUAAGGAAUUAGGAGAAACAAUAUAUACAAAACAGUUUCGCAUUUGUUCAAGCUUUCCAACGCCAUAUCAUUUGCUGCAUUCGGACGCACGGUUAAGAAAUUAGCUCGAAAUUACGUACUCAGUAGGACUUUGACCAUUUUCUAAAUUACUCUUAAACCAUUCAAAAUUAGAAAAAAACUUUCAAGAUGAAAAAGUAGCACAUUUUCAUAAGCUUUCCAACGCCAUAUCAUAUGUCUCCAUUCGAUUAGCUGUUUAGAAACGACAUCGAAAAAACGAACUCAGUUGUUCGGUUUACGAAAUUUUAUGUUUUUCACAUUAUUCUUUAACCAUAGGGAAUUAGAGAAACCUUUCAACAUGUGGAAGGAGCAGUUUUGCAGCAGCUUUCCAAUGCCAUAUUAUAUGCCUCAUUCCGAUAAGCGGUUUAGAAAUGCGAUCAAAAAUACGAUUCACGUUUUUUGUGCGAAAAAAACGGUUUUCAAAACUGCUCUUAAACCGCUUAUAUUUUGCCAAAAAAUUUAAGUUGGGUCAUGAUAUUGGUGUCCAUAGCUUUCCAACGGUAUAUCGCAAGCCCCAUUUGGGCAAUGUUGGCGGAAGUUCAACCUAGUUCACAGGGAAGUUCAACGUACUACUAGCGGGGCAGGUCAGGUUGUGAUCAGAAUAUUAUUCUGAUCCCGUGAUCAGAAUAGUGUUUAUAUAUAUAUAUAUAUAUAUAUAUAUAUAUAUAUAUAUAUAUAUANNNNNNNNNNGUUGUUGGGGAGGAGAGGUGAAUCUAGCUAGCUAACUAAUGGAGAGGGGUGUUAUGGUAGAGGGGGGCAUUAAUGGGGGAGAGAAGAGAGGUGUAGGAGAAAGAGAGAGGCCAUUUAUGGAGGAGGGUGCUAUUAAUGAGGAGAAAAGAGAGGUAGUAGGAAGAGAAAAGAACAACAACAAUGGUGGAGAGUGGAGAGGGGAAAGGAGGGGGACAGAUGGCAAAGUGGGGGAGAGGAGGGGGAGGGGUGGAAAAGGUGGCACCAGCAGCAACUAGCAGUAGUGCUGCUUAGCAAAAAGUGAUGCUACUAUGGGACUUAGUAGUAGCGCUGUCCAGGAAAAGCGCUACUACUAAGUGGGGCCCAUUAGUAGUAGCGGCACAGUCAAAUCAAGCGCUACUACUAAACUAUUAGUAGUAACGCUUGUUUCUGUACAGCGCUACAACUCCAGCGACCGUUGGUGGCCUCAUCUGGUCCCACAUAGUAGUAGCGGGUUUUUGCUUCCCAGCGCUACUACUACAGAGUUACUAGUAGCGCCUGCCAGGUAAAGCGCUACUACUAAAUAGCAACAACGGUUACUAUUUUAUAGCUCUACUACUAUUGUACUGUGUAUAACAUUUUCCUAGCAGUGCAUACUCACAAUGUCUGGGUACCAUAAUCACUUCACUCAGCUAGGAGUUAAUCUUUUGGAUGAUAGUGUCAGUGAUAGAGUUCUUGAAUCACUGCCACCAAGCUAUAAAGGCUUCGUGAUGAACAAUAAUAUGCAAGGGAUGAACAAGACGAUUCCCGAGCUCUUCNNNNNNNNNNCUAUUAAUGAGGAGAAAAGAGAGGUAGUAGGAAGAGAAAAGAACAGCAACAAUGGUGGAGAGUGGAGAGGGGAAAGGAGGGGGACAGAUGGCAAAGUGGGGGAGAGGAGGGGGAGGGGUGGAAAAGGUGGCACCAGCAGCAACUAGCAGUAGCGCUGCUUAGCAAAAAGUGAUGCUACUAUGGGACUUAGUAGUAGCGCUGUCCAGGAAAAGCGCUACUACUAAGUGGGGCCCAUUAGUAGUAGCGGCACAGUCAAAUCAAGCGCUACUACUAAACUAUUAGUAGUAACGCUUGUUUCUGUACAGCGCUACAACUCCAGCGACCGUUGGUGGCCUCAUCUGGUCCCACAUAGUAGUAGCGGGUUUUUGCUUCCCAGCGCUACUACUACAGAGUUACUAGUAGCGCCUGCCAGGUAAAGCGCUACUACUAAAUAGCAACAACGGUUACUAUUUUAUAGCUCUACUACUAUUGUACUGUGUAUAACAUUUUCCUAGCAGUGCAUACUCACAAUGUCUGGGUACCAUAAUCACUUCACUCAGCUAGGAGUUAAUCUUUUGGAUGAUAGUGUCAGUGAUAGAGUUCUUGAAUCACUGCCACCAAGCUAUAAAGGCUUCGUGAUGAACAAUAAUAUGCAAGGGAUGAACAAGACGAUUCCCGAGCUCUUCACAAUACUUAAGGUUGUGGAGGUAGAAAUCAAGAAGGAGCAACGAGUGUUGAUAGUUAACAAGACCACUAGUUUCAAGAAAAAGGGCAAAGGAAAGAAGGGGAACUUCAAGAAUAAUGGCAAGAAAGUUGCUACUCCCGAGAAGAAGCCCAAGUCUGGACCAGAGCCUAAAACUGAGUGCUUCUACUGCAAAGGGACUGGUCACUUGAAGCGGAACUGCCCCAAGUAUUUGGCGGAUAAGAAGGAUGGCAAAGUGAAGAAAGGUAUAUUUGAUAUACAUGUUAUUGAUGUGUACCUUACUAAUGCUCGUAGUAGCGCCUGGGUAUUUGAUACUGGUUCUGUUGCUCAUAUUUGCAACUCGAAAUAGGGGCUAUGGAUUAAACAAAGAUUGGCUAAGGACGAGGUGACGAUGCACGUCGGAAAUGGUUCCAAGGUCGAUGUGAUCACCAUCGGCACGCUACUUCUACAUCUACCUUCGGGAUUAAUUUUAAACCUAAAUAAUUGUUAUUUGGUGCCAGCGUUGAGCAUGAACAUUAUAUUUGGAUCUUGUUGAUGCGGGACGAUUAUUCAUUUAAAUAAAAGAAUAAUGGUUGUUCUAUUUAUAUGAGUAAUAUCUUUUAUGGUCAUGCGCCCUUGAAGAGUGGUCUAUUUCGUUGAAUCUCGGUCGUAGUGAUACACAUAUUCAUAAUAUUGAUGCCAAAAGAUGCAAAGUUGAUAAUGAUAGAGCAACUAGACAUUUGUGGCACUGCUGUUUAGGUCAUAUUGGUGUAAAGCGCAUGAAGAAACUCCAUGCGGAUGGACUUUUGGAAUCACUUGAUUAUGAAUCAUUUCAUGCUUGCCAACCAUGCCUCAUGGGCAAGAUGACUAAGACUCAGUUCUCCGGAACAAUGGAGCGAGCAACUAACUUAUUGGAAAUAAUACAUACUGAUGUAUGUGGUUCCAUCAGUGUUGAGGCUCGCAGUCGGUAUCAUUAUGUUCUGACUUUCACAAAUGAUUUGAGUAGAUAUGGUAUAUCAACUUAAUGAAACACAAGUGUGAAACAUUUGAAAAGUUCAAAGAAUUUCAAAGUGAAGUAGAAAAUCAUCAUAACAAGAAAAUAAGGUUUCUAUGAUCUGAUCGCGGAGGCGAAUAUUUGAGUUACGAGUUUGGUCUUCAUUUAAAACAAUGUGGAAUAGUUUCGCAACUCACGCCACCUGGAACACCACAGCAUAAUGGUGUGUCCAAACGUCAUAACCGUAAUUUAUUAGAUAUGGUGCGAUCUAUGAUGUCUCUUACCAAUUUACCACUAUUGUUUUGGGGUUAUGCAUUAGAGACAGUGUCGGUGUAUGAUAACCCACAAGUAUAGGGGAUCGCAACAGUUUUCGAGGGUAGAGUAUUCAACCCAAAUUUAUUGAUUCGACACAAGGGGAGCCAAAGAAUAUUCUCAAGUAUUAGCAGCUGAGUUGUAAAUUCAACCACACCUGGAAACUUAACAUCUGCAGAGAAGUAUUUAGUAGCAAAGUAAUAUGAUAGUAGUGGUAACGGUAGCAAAAGGUAACGGUAACAAAAGUAAUAUUUUUGGUGUUUUGUAGUGAUGAUAACAAUAGCAACAGAAAAGUAAUUAAGCGAAGAACAAUAUAUGGAAAGACCGUAGGCAAUGGAUCGGUGAUAGAGAAUUAUGCCAGAUGUGGUUCAUCAUGUAACAGUCAUAACCUAGGGUGACACAGAACUAGCUCCAAUUCAUCAAUGUAAUGUAGGCAUGUAUUCCGAAUAGUCAUACGUGCUUACGGGAAAGAACUUGCAUGACAUCUUUUGUCCUACCCUCCCAUGGCAGCGGGGUCCGAGUGGAAACAAAGGGAUAUUAAGGCCUCCUUUUAAUAGAGUAUCUGACCAAAGUGUUAACACAUAGUGAAUACAUGAACUCCUCAAACUACGGUCAUCACCAGGAGUGGUCCCGAUUAUUGUCACUUCGGGGUUGCUGGAUCAUAACACAUAGUAGGUGAUCAUAGACUUGUGAGAUAGGAUCAAGAACUCACAUAUAUUCAUGAAAACAUAAUAAGUUCAGAUCUGAAAUCAUGGCAAUCGGGCCCUAAUGACAAGCAUUAAGCAUAGCAAAGUCAUAGCAACAUCAAUCUCAGAACAAAGUGGAUACUAGGGAUCAAACCCUACCAAAACUAACUCGAUUGCAUGAUAAAUCUCAUCCAACCCAUCAGCGUCCAGCAAGCCUACAAUGGAAUUACUCACGCACGGAAAUUGGUGAUGGAGGAAGGUUGAUGAUGACGAUGGCGACGGAUUCCCCUCUCCGGAGCCCCGAAUGGACUCCAGAUCAGCCCUCCCGAGAGAGUUUAGGGCUUGGCGGUGGCUCCGUAUUGUAAAACGCGAUGAAUCCUUCUUCUUUAUUUUUUCUCCCCGAACACGAAUAUAUGGAGUCAAGAUGGACGUUGGUGGAGCUCAAGGGGGCCCACGAGGCAGGGGGCGCGCCCAGGGGGGCAGGCGUGCCCCCACCCUCGUGGCUAUGGUGUGGGCCCCCUGGCCUUGAUUCUUUGCCAGUAUUUUUUAUUAUUUCCAAAAAUAAUCUCCGUGGAGUUUCAGGUCAUUCCGAGAAUUUUUUCUGCACAUAAAUAACACCAUGGCAAUUUUGCUGAAGACAGUGUCGGUCCGGGUAUUUCCAUUCAAAUCAAAGCAAGUUAGAGUCCAAAACAAGGGCAAAAGUGUUUGGAAAAGUAGAUACGACAGAGACGUAUCAACUCCCCCAAGCUUAAACCUUUGCUUGUCCUCAAUCAAUUCAGUUGACAAGCUGAAAGUGAUAGAGAAAAACUUUUACAAACUCUGUUUGCUCUUGUUGUUGUAAAUAUGUAAAGCCAACAUUCAAGUUUUUAGCAAAGAUUAUGAACUAACCAUAUUCACAAUAACUCUUAGGUCUCAUGUUUACUCAUAUCAAUAGCAUAGUCAACUAGCGAGCAAUAAUAAUAAAUCUUAGAUGACAACACUUCCUCAAAACAAUCAUAAUAUGAUAUAACAAGAUGGUAUCUCGCUAGCCCUUUCUGAGACUGCAAAACAUAAAUGUAGAGCACCUUUAAAGAUCAAGGACUGACUAGACAUUGUAAUUCAUUCUAAAAGAGAUGCAGUCAAGUCAUACUCAAUGUAAACUAACAGUAAUGAAUUCAAAUGACAGUGGUGCUCUCCAACUGGUGCUUUUUAAUAAGAGGAUGAUGACUCAACAUAAAAGUAAAUAGAUAGGCCCUUCGCAGAGGGAAGUAGGGAUUUGUAGAGGUGCCAGAGCUCGAUUUUGAAAUAGAGAUGAAUAAUAUUUUGAGCGGUAUACUUUCAUUGUCAACAUAACAACCAAGAGAUGGCGAUAUCUUCCAUGCUACACACAUAAUAGGCGGUUCCCAAACAGAAUGGUAAAGUUUAUACUCCCCCUCCACCAACAAGCAUCAAUCCAUGGCUUGCUCGAAACAAUGAGUGCCUCCAACUAACAAGAGUCUCGGGGGAGUUUUGUUUGUAGUUAUUUUGAUUUUAUUUGCAUAAAGCAUGGGACUGGGCAUCCCGGUGACCAGCCAUUUUCUCGUGAGUGAGGAGCGGAGUCCACUCCUCUUGAGAAUAAUACACCUAACAUGGAAGAUACGGAUACAUGAGCUAUUCGAGCAUACAAAACAUGAUAUUUAUUUGAAGGUUUAGAGUUUGGCACAUACAAAUUUACUUGGAACAGCAGGUAGAUACCGCAUAUAGGUAGGUAUGGUGGACUCAUAUGGAGCAACUUUGGGAUUUAUGGGAUUGGAUGCACAAGCAGUAUUCUUGCUUAGUACAGGUGAAGGCUAGAAAAAGACUGGGAAGCGACCAACUAGAGAGCGACAACAGCCAUGAACAUGCAUUAAAAUUAAUCAACAUCGAAUGCAAGCAUGAGUAGGAUAUAAUGCACCAUGAACAUAAAUAUCGUAGAGGCUAUGUUGAUUUUGUUUAAACUACAUGCAUGAACAUGUGCCAAGUCAAGCCACUCGAAUCGUUCAAAAGAGGAGACCACCCUAUCAUACCACAUCACAACCAUUUUAAUAGCAUGUUGGCACGCAAGGUAAACCAUUAUAAGCUCCUAGCUAAUUAAGCAUGGCAUAAGCAACUAUAAUCUCUAAUUGUCAUUGCAAACAUGUUCAUUCAUAAUAGGCUGAAUCAGGAACGAUGAACUAAUCAUAUUUACAAAAACAAGAGAGGUCGAGUUCAUACCAGCUUCUCCCAUCUCAAUCAGUCCAUCAUAUAUCGUCAUAAUUGCCUUUCACUUGCACGACCGAAUGAUGUGAGUAAUAAUAAUAGUGCACGAGCAUUGUACUAAGCUGGAAUCUGCAAGCAUUCAAUAAACAGGAGAAGACAAGGCAAUAUGGACUCUUUUGUUAGAUCAACAAUAAUGCAUAUAGGAGUCACACCAACAAUUUAAUCAUGGUCUUCUCCUAUCGACCCCCAAAGAAAAGAAAUAAAACUAUUUACACGGGAGAGCUCCCAACAAGCAUAAGAAGAACAGGAAAUAUUUUUGGGUGUUGUUUUUAAUUACUACUACAAGCAUAGAAAAUAAAGCUAGCUAAAAGCUACAACUAAUUUUUUUGUUUUUCUUAAGGUUUAUCAAACACACAAGAAGAAAGCAUAAAAAGGAAAUAAACUAGCAUGGAUAUUACAAUGAAAAAGUAUGAGCACCGACAUCUAGCAAUGAGUGUGUGAACAAGAAUGUAAUGUCGGUGAGAAGUACACACUCCCCUAAGCUUAGGCUUUUGGCCUAAGUUGGUCUAUGGCCACGGUUGGCCUGGCGGAUAUCCAAAUUAAUAGUUGGGGUCGUACCGCGAUGAAGCCUCGGCUUUCCACUGGUUGGCAAUCACCUCCGGAUCCUACUGGUAAUCAGACUGUCGUGGAGGCUCAAAUUGUGGUUCGGGUUCUGGCUCUGCAGCUGAUGUAGGGUUCCGGUAGGCGUGAAUGGCCUCCAACAGAACAAGGUACUUGCCUGCAGAUAAAUCAAACAAGGAAGGAGCAGGCAGGGUAAUAGUCUUGGGAUGAUGUUUAUCAAAGAACAAUUUGUAUUUAAGCUCAUUUUCUCUAUUCUUAACAGUAAAAUCAUGUGCUACCAUACUCUUAUAAUCUAAAUAAACAGGAGGCAGCAAUUUUUCUUCCUUCUCAUAAUGCCUAAUAGGUAUGUUAAAAUGUGUAGCUAGGCGCGAGGCGAAGAUGCCUCCAAAGACGGGGCCCUUAGUACGGUUAAGAUUUAACCGCUUUGCAAUAAUAGCACCCAUGCUAAAUGUAUCAUCACGAAAUAAGGCAUGGCACAAAAUAACAAUAUCAGGGGCACUCAGGUUUCCACAGUUUUCGCGCCCAAUUAAGCAUCUACUAGCAAGUAUAGCAAAGUAACGUAGAACGGGAAAGUGUAUGCUAGUAGUUCGUGCAUCGGAAACCUUCCUUGUUUCCCCUACAGUGAUGGUAUCAAUAAACCCAUCCACAUCGUCAUGAUGUGGUUCCUCUAUGAUGCCCUCGAGAGGGAUCAAACAAACCCGACAAAAAUCACGAAGUGACAUCUCCUUAUGCUCAUUAUAUAAAUAAAACUCCACUGUAGGUGGUGAGUUCCUAGCAUGGAAAUGAAAGUUUUGCACAAAGAUAUUGGUGCAUAAGAGAUACUGUUCACGUUGGUCGUGGAGGAAGGCGGUGAGGCCUGCAUUCUCAGCCAUUCAUAGAAAUCAUCAUAAAUCCUGGCUGCUCUCAAGAAAUCAUCACAAGGCCAUUCACACGGCCGUACCUCCGUAGUGCGAGGGAGAUUAUACUUGGGUCUCUUAUCCUCCUCACUUUGCUUAUCCUUCGAGCUUCGGCCCGAUGAGCCCCUCAAAAAUCUCUUCAUUAUUUUCUAAAAAAAUCUGAAAUUUCUAGUAACUUCAAAAUAAAAGUGAACCAAACUCAACAAAAUUGAUAGCAACUACUCCUACAAGUGCCUAGAGCCUAUAUCAUGCAUUAGAACUACUUGGAACCAUAUAAAUUUUACAUGCAAGCUCAAGAACGUGGUCACCUAGGCAGCACAAAUUUGCAAUGAAUAAAGCACUAGAACAAAAACUAAUUGGACCAAUGGAGGAGUCACAUACCAAGGAACAAUCCCCCAAAGCAGUUUUGCGAGAAGUGCUUUGAGCAAGGAGAUCGAAAAUCACAGCAAAAUGAGCUAGAACUCGUGCUUGAGCUGGAUAGUGGUGUUUGUGGGAGGAAGAAGGAGUGUGUGGGUGCAGGGAUAAGUGGAGGGGAGCCACCAUGGGCCCACGAGGCAGGGGGCGCACCCAGGGGGGUGGGCGCGCCGUGGACCCUCGUGGCCAGGUGCUUGCUCCCCCUGUUGUGUUCUGAGUGCCAGAUAUUCUCAAAUAUUCCAGAAAAAAUCAUAUUAAACUGGCAGGGCAUUUGGAGAACUUUUUUUUCGUGGUAUUUUUAUAUUGCAUGGAUAAUCAGAAAAUAGACAGAAAUUACUAUUUUUGCUUUAUUUAAUAUAAAUAACAGAAAGUAAAAAGAGGGUACAGAGAGUUGUGUUAUCUAAAUUCAUCCAUCUCAUGCUCAUCAAAAGGAAUCCACUAACAAGGUUGAUCAAGUCCUGUUAACAAACUCAUUCCGAGUAACAUGGAACCGGAGAAUUUUCGAAUUACACUAGGUUACCUCAACGGGGAUAUGCACAUCCCCAACAAUAAGAAUAUCAUAUUUCUUCUUGACAGUACGAAGAGGAAAUUCAAAACCUCCAAAAAUAAUCGAUGGAAUUUUUCCGAUAGAGUUUAUACUGUGGACUUGAGGUUGUUUCCUUGGAAAGUGUACCGUAUGCUCAUUACCAUUAACAUGAAAAGUGACAUUGCCUUUGGUGCAAUCAAUAACAGACCCUAUAGUAUUCAAAAAGGGUCUUCCAAGAAUAAUAGACAUACUAUCGUCCUCGGGAAUAUCAAGAAUAACAAAGUCCAUUAAAAUAGUAACGUUUGCAACCACAACAGGCACAUCCUCACAAAUACCGACAGGUAUAGCAGUUGAUUUAUCAGCCAUUUGCAACGAUAUUUCAGUAGGUGUUAACUUAUUCAAAUCAAGUCUAUGAUAUAAAGAGAGAGGCAUAACACUAACACCGGCCCCAAGAUCACAUAAAGCAGUUUUAACAUAGUUUCUUUUAAUGGAGCAUGGUAUAGUGGGUACUCCUAGAUCUCCUAACUUCUUAGGUAUUCCACCCUUAAAAGUAUAAUUAGCAAGCAUGGUGGAAAUCUCAGCUUCCGGUAUCUUUCUUUGAUUAGUGACAAUUUCUUUCAUAUACUUAGCAUAAGGAUUCAUUUUAAGCAUAUCAGUCAAACACAUACGCAAAAAGAUAGGUCUAAUCAUUUCGGCAAAGCGCUCAAAAUCCUCAUCAUCCCUUUUCUUGGAUGGCUUAGGAGGAAAAGGCAGAGGUUUCUGAACCCAUGGUUCUCUUUCUUUACCAUUCUUCAUAGCAACAAAGUCUCUUUUAUCAUAAGUUGAUUCUUUGAUUGUGGGUUAUCAAGAUCAACAGCAGGUUCAAUCUCUACAUCAUUAUCAUUGCUAGGUUGAGCAUCAACAUGAACAUUAUCAUUAACAUUAUCACUAGUUUCAUGUUCAUUACCAUAUUGUGUUUUAGCAUUAGAAAUUGAAAUAUCAUUGGGAUUCUCAGGUGGUUCAGCAAUAGGUUCACUAGAAGCAUGCACAGUCGUAUCAUUUUUCUGUUUCUUCCUUUUAGAUGGACUAGGUGCAUCAAUAUUAUUUCUCUGAGAAUCUUGCUCAAUUCUCUUAGGAUGGCCUUCAGGAUACAAAGGUUCCUGAGUCAUUUUACCAGUUCUAGUAGCCACUCUAACAGCAUAGUCAUUAUUCUUACUAUUCAAUUCAUUGAGCAAAUCAUUUUGACCUUUAAGUACUUGUUCUACUUGAGUGGUAACCAUAGAAGCAUGUUUACUAAUGAUUUUAAGUUCACCUUUAACUCUAGACAUAUAAUCAACUAAGUGUUCAAUCAUUUAAGCAUUUUGUUUCAAUUGUCUACCAAAAUAAGCAUUGAAGUCUUCUUGCUUAACCAUAAAGUUAUCAAACUCAUCCAAACAUUGGCUAGAAAACUUAGUAGGAGGGAUUUCAGCUUUAUCAUAUCUAUAGAGAGAAUUUACCUUUACUACCUGUGUCGGGAUGUCAAGACCAUGUGUUUCUUUAAUAGGUGAUGGACUAAAACCAUAUAUUUCUUCAACAGGCAGUCAAUUAAGACCAUGUAUUUCUUCAAUAGGAGGUAAAUUCUUAACAUCUUCAGCUUUAAUACCCUUUUCUUUCAUGGAUUUAUUUGCCUCUUGCAUAUCUUCAGGACUGAUAAAUAGAACACCUCUUUUCUUCGGAGUUGGUUUAGGAAUAGGCUCAGGAGUUGGCUCAGGAGCUAGCUCAGGAAGUGUCCAAUUAUUUUCAUUUGUCAACAUAUUAUUCAAUAGAAUUUUAGCUUCAUCCGGUGUUCUUUCCCUGAAAACAAAACCAGCACAACUAUCCAGGUAAUCUCUGGAAGCAUCUGUUAGUCCAUUAUAAAAGAUAUCAAGUAUUUCAUUUUUCUUAAGAGGGUGAUCAGGCAAAUCAUUAAGUAAUUGGAGAAGCCUCCCCCAAGCUUGUGGGAGACUCUCUUCUUCAAUUUGCACAAAAUUAUAUAUAUCCCGUAAGGCAGCUUGUUUAUUAUGAGCAGGGAAAUAUUUAGCAGAGAAGUAAUAAAUCAUAUCCUGGGGACUACACACACAACCAGGAUCAAGAGAAUUAAACCAUAUCUUAGCAUCACUCUUUAAUGAGAACGGAAAUAUUUCAAGGAUAUAAAAGUAGCGAGUUCUCUCAUCAUUAGUGAACAGGGUGGCUAUAUCAUUUAAUUUAGUAAGAUGUGCCACAAUAGUUUCAGAUUCAUAGCCAUAAAAAGGAUCAGAUUCAACCAAAGUAAUUAUAUCAGGAUCAAUAGAGAAUUCAUAAUCCUUAUCAGUAACAAAGAUAGGUGAAGUAGCAUAAGCAGGAUCAUAUUUCAUUCUAGCAUUCAGAGCUUUUUGUUUAAGCUUAGCUAAUAAUUUCUUAAGAUCACUUCUAUCAUUGCAAGCAAGAAAAUCUCUUUCAGUUUCUUCAUCCAUAACAUAGCCCUCAGGCACAACAGGCAAUUAAUAUUUAUUAAGAGAGCCUUCAUCAUCAUUUUCAUCAAUAUUAUCAGUUUCAAUAAUUUCAUUCUCUAUAGCCCAAUCAAGUUGUUCAUCAAGAAGUUCACCAAGUGGCACAGUACUAUCAAGCAUAGAAGUACUUUCAUCAUAAGUAUCAUGUGUAGCAUAAGUGGCAUCAUCAAUAAUAUGCGACAUAUCAGAAUUAAUAGCAGAAGAAGGUUUAGGUGUCGCAAGCUUACUCAAAACAGAAGGUGAAUCAAUUGCAGAGCUAGAUGGCAGUUCCUUACCUCCCCUCGUAGUUGAGGGAUAAAUCUUGGUUUUUGGAUCUCUGAAGUUCUUCAUAAUGAUAAGCAGAUAUAAAUCCCAAGUGACUCAAAGAAUAGAGCUAUGCUCCCUGGCAACGGCGCCAGAAAAUGGUCUUGAUAACCCACAAGUAUAGGGGAUCGCAACAGUUUUCGAGGGUAGAGUAUUCAAACCAAAUUUAUUGAUUCGACACAAGGGGAGCCAAAGAAUAUUCUCAAGUAUUAGCAGCUGAGUUGUCAAUUCAACCACACCUAGAAACUUAAUAUCUGCAGCAAAGUAUUUAGUACCAAAGUAAUAUGAUAGUAGUGGUAACGGUAGCAAAAGGUAACGGUAACAAAAGUAAUAUUUUCGGUGUGUUGUAGUGAUGAUAACAAUAGCAACGGAAAAGUAAAUAAGCGAAGAACAAUAUAUGGAAAGCUUGUAGGCAAUGGAUCGGUGAUAGAGAAUUAUGCCGGAUGUGGUUCAUCAUGUAACAGUCAUAACCUAGGGUGACACAGAACUAGCUCCAAUUCAUCAAUGUAAUGUAGGCAUGUAUCCGAAUAUAGUCAUACGUGCUUAUGGAAAAGAACUUGCAUGACAUCUUUUGUCCUACCCUCCCGUAGCAGCGGGGUCCUAGUGGAAACUAAGGGAUAUUAAGGCCUCCUUUUAAUAGAGUACUGGAGAAAAGCAUUAACACAUAGUGAAUACAUGAACUCCUCAAACUACGGUCAUCACCGGACUGCCUGUAGGUUCGUUGAGCCAAACUGGUCGAUGUCGAGUCUAGAAAUGCUCUAGUUAUAUGUAGGGGAAUUGAUUGAGGGAGGGAACGUAAGGUUCUUUUACUCCUUUACCUAUCCCGCUGAUCUGAGUCAUUCUCUCCUCAUUCAACGUGGGUUAAGGACUAGGCUCUCUUCCUCUAUCAGGUUCACGUGUUACUAAUCCGUUGUAGCUUAUAGGAUUGUUGUUACAAGUCCCAGUUCAGUUUCUACUAUUCUUAGUAUGUUGCUAAUUGAAUCAGAACCUUGAUAUGAUGUUGUUGAGUGGUAUUGUGAACUGUUGUGGAUGUCUCAAAUCUUUUUCUGAGCAUUUACAGCCGUUAUGCUCUCCAAUUUUCCCUAGAAAUUCUGAUGUCUUUGUCUUGUGGUUGUGCUUUCAGAUGGCCAACCGCGUUCAUAACCAAGUGGUUCGCCUGACCCGGUGCCUCGACGUGCCCGGUCAUACUGCUAUGUUAGUCCGGGUCAUGAUCGAGACGGGUUACCAUUGGUAUCCCGAAUACACCGUCGAAGAGAAGUUCCGCGACUUUAACCAAAGCCAGUAUUUCUACACCGUCAGGAUAUUUCCUUCUUAUCCUGGAUCUACCGAGCCCCUUCACUGUUCCUAUGGACUCGGGGUUACCGUUGAGAUGGCUGUGCAGGAUGCUGCCUAUUCCAUGAUGACCAUCAUGCGAGUUCGGACUGGCCUGCUUCGGAACACCGACUUUCGUUACAUGCCAGCUUCACUUCCGGGAGCGCAAGGGUAUCUUCAGGCCAUCUAUGCUGACUCCACUCAGGAGGACUCAUUAACUCGUACCACUGCCGAGAUGCUCGAAGAUAAGGACCGAGAGAAUCGGGCCUUGAGGUUGGAGCUUUUCAAUACCCGUGCUGAUCAUUGGGCCACAUUGACUCGGUUUGCACCUGCGGUGCAAGCUGGAUGUAUGGAUACAAGGGACCUGUAUCUUGUGAGAUAAGCUCUGCCAGACAUGGUGGAUUGGCGUGAUGUGGGAGGCGUCACCCCACCCGUGGUCCCCGCAGGCCACCGUUUGUUGGUCCAAGACCUCAUCCUAGCCCCUAUGGUCCACAGGCUCCUCAGGACUGUCUGUUCCCGGAUGGUCAUGUUGAACUUCCAGGCUAUGGAGGUGACUUCUAUGAGAACUACUACGGAGUUGUCUGAGUUAGUAGUAGUAUCAUUAGUAAUGUAGUAGUUGUAUCUCCACCAUCCUGCGAGACUUGUGGAAUAUGACUUUGUGUGUAAUCAAAUCCGGAGGUGUAGGCAAAUAAUGUAUAGGAGCUUGGAAUGCCUCCGAUGAGACGUAAUGUCUUUCAUCAUAGUUGUACUGUAGCCUGGGCUUGUACUAAACUAUGUAUGAUGUGUAUGACCGUUGGUAUAUAUAUAUGGCAGUUUUAUAUUACCAUGACAUACGGAUGAACAUCUCUGCAUUCCGUGUUAUCCAUUACAUUCUGCACUUCCUUGCUAAGUUUGAGCCAUCCUUAUCUAAACCAUUGUCUUGUUUUCUCCUAGGAUGGUCAACACCCGCAGCAACCCUGUUUCCUCGAAGCAGGGGGAAGCCAGUGCAGCUAGGGGUGAAAAUCUGCCUCACCCGCCUUCUCUGGCCGAAGUAAUGCUAGAGGCGGAAAGAAACAAGCGUGAGACUAACCGCCUACUGGAGCGGAUUGAGCAGAACACUGCACGCCACCCGCGAAAUGAUUUGGUGUCAAUCAAUGACUUUAUCAAGCUGUACCCACCAAAGUUUAACCAGUCCGUCGAGCCCCUCGACGCGGAUGACUGGCUUCGCAGCAUCACCCACAAGCUACGUUCUGCCAACGUAGCCGAAGCUGACAAGGUUACCUAUGCUGCCUAUCACCUCGAAGGCCCUGCUAGCCUUUGGUGGGAAAACUUCGAAGCUAUGCGGCCCGUCGGCCAAAUCACUACUUGGGUUGAAUUCAGUGAGGCUUUCCAUGAGCAUCACAUUCCGGAAGGUCUCAUGGAUCGCAAGAGGGAGGAAUUCUGCAACUUCACCCAAGGAAGACUGACUGUGGAUUCUUAUAGUCGUGAAUUUGGGAAUCUGGCACGUUAUGCUCCUGAAGAGGUAUCUACUGACGCUAAGAAGCAGGCAAGGUUCCGCAAGGGACUUAGCCCUGAGCUUCGCCGCGAUCUCCGUCUGCACGAGUGCACAUCCUUUCAGAAGUUGGUCAAUAAAGCCAUCAGUGCUGAGACGGGCCAGACUGAUUAUGAUGCUUCACGCAAGCACUCCCGUGAUUUUGGCUCUUCAUCCGGCUCUGGAACUCAGAAGCGCCGGGUGUGGAUUCCAAGCACGGCACUGCCACCCAGGUUCAUCCCGAGGCCAUCCUUUGAGGCGCCUCGUCCCAACCAACAAUUUGCACCACCCAAGCCCUAUGGUGGCCCCGCUGCUAAUGCUGCUCCACGCCCCAAUGUGGUGACAUGCUUCAAGUGUGGAGAGCCAGGUCACUAUAGCCGAGAGUGUCCCAAGAACAACAACCCCAAUCAAACUGGAAAGUCCGUUGGCCGUGGUAAGCCAGCAGGGAAGACUUUCUACGCCAAGCCGGCCACCACUACACGUGGCCAUGUCAAUUAUGUUUCAGCCGAGGAGGCUCAUGAGGAUCCUAACGUCGUCCUUGGUACGCUCCUUGUUAACUGCCAUCCAGCAUCUGUUCUUUUUGAUACUGGAGCAUCUCAUUCAUUCAUAUCCGAGAACUAUGCUCGAUUGCAUAACACGACAUUCUGUGACAUGCCCUCUACCAUGGAAAUUCAAACCCCUGGCUCUAGAUGGCAAACUUCUAGAGUAAGCCAUGGGAACGAAAUUCUUGUCGAUAGGCUUGUCUUCCUUGCAUCCUUAAUAGCUCUCAAGUCCUCGGACAUAAGCAUCAUCUUGGGUAUGGACUGGAUGUCAGCUCAUUAUGCUAAGAUUGAUUGUGCCACUAGAACCGUUCAACUUACUCACCCGUCGGGCAAGAUAGUUAACGUCAUAACACGAGUGGCCAAGCGCCAACUUUACUCCCUAAAUGCCAACCCCCUUCCAGACCUUGAGGACGUUCCGGUAGUCCGAGACUUUCCGGAUGUCUUUCCAGAAGAACUGCCAGGUGUUCCACCUGACAGGGAUGUUGAGUUUGUGAUAGACCUUGUUCCAGGAAUCGUUCCAAUUUCUAGAAGAGCCUACAAGAUGGCACCCUUAGAACUAGCCGAGCUUAAGAACCAACUCGAUGAGUCCUUGAAAAAGGGUUUCAUCCGUCCUAGUUCCUCUCCUUGGGCUUGCCCCGUCCUCUUCGUUAAGAAGAAGGAUGGAACGGAUCGAAUGGUUGUGGAUUACCGACCUGUCAACUUGGUCACCAUCAAGAACAAAUAUCCGCUUCCCAGGAUCAACGAUCUGUAUGAUCAGCUCGCUGGAUCCUCAGUCUUCUCCAAGAUGGAUUUGAGGUUGGGUUACCAUCAAAUCAAAAUCAGAAACGGGGACAUUCCCAAAACGGCCUUUUUUACUCGUUAUGGCCAAUACGAGUACACCGUCAUGUCCUUCGGUUUAACCAAUGCCCCAGCCACCUUCUCGCGGUUAAUGAACUCGGUUUUCAUGGAGUACUUGGAUAAAUUCAUCGUAGUAUACCUCGAUGACAUACUCAUCUACUCCAAGAAUGAAGAGGAACAUGCCGUACAUCUAAGGCUGGUAUUGAUGAAACUUCGAGAGCAUCGCCUUUAUGCCAAAUUCUCCAAGUGUGAAUUUUGGUUGCCAGAAGUGACCUAUCUAGGCCAUGUAAUCUCUGGUAAGGGUAUUGCUAUCAAUCCCGAGCGAGUUCAAGCCGUCCUUGAUUGGACUCCACCUGAAACGGUCAAGCAAGUUCGGAGUUUCCUUGGCUUAGCGAGCUAUUGCCGCUGCUUCGUCGAGAAUUUCUCCAAGGUUGCUAAACCUCUAACUGAACUCCUCAAGAAAGAUAAAAAGUUCGAGUGGACUCCACAGUGCGAGUUCAGUUUUCAAGAACUGAAAAGACGCCUGACAUCUGCCCCCGUACUGGUACCACCAGAUUUCUCCAAGGACUUUAUUAUCUAUUGCGACGCCUCGCGACAAGGACUAGGUUGCAUACUCAUGAAAGAUCGUCAGGUAAUUGCCUAUGCUUCACGGAAAUUACACCCACAUGAGGAAAAUUAUCCCACACAUGAUCUAGAGCUUGCAGCUGUAGUCCAUGCACUUAAAACUUGGCGACAUUACCUUCUCGGUAAUCAUUGUGAGAUCUUCACCGACCACCAAAGUUUGAAAUAUAUCUUCACCCAACCAGAUUUGAAUCUCAGGCAAAGACGUUGGGUUGAGUUGAUCUCGGAUUACGACUUAGGAAUAACUUACACCCCGGGCAAAGCCAAUGUCAUGGCUGAUGCACUAAGUCGUAAAUCCUAUUGUAACAACCUGAUGUUACAACAAAGUCAACCACUUCUCCAUGAGGAAUUCCGUAAGCUUAAUCUUCACAUUGUUCCUCGAGGAUUCCUAUCCACCCUGGUGGCGAAACCUAACCUUAUGGAUCAGAUCAUAACCGCCCAGCGGUAUGAUAAGGGCAUAUCCCGGAUUAAGGAAAACAUUGCUAGCGGAGUUGCUAAAUGUUUUUCCAUGGAUAAGAGGGGUGUUGUCUUCUUUGAGAACCAUUUGGUGGUUCCCAAGAAACAACAUCUACGCCAAUUGAUCCUUAAGGAAGCUCAUGAAUCCCCUCUCACCAUUCAUCCCGGUAGUACCAAAAUGUAUCAAGACCUAUGCCAGAGGUUUUGGUGGACUAGGAUGAAGAGAGAAAUCGCUCAAUACAUUGCUAAUUAUGACGUUUGUCGUCGUGUUAAAGCAAAGCAUCAACGGCCUGCUGGCACCCUUCAACCUAUGGCUAUUCCUGAAUGGAAAUGGGAUAAAAUCAGUACGGAUUUCAUCACUGGGUUUCCCAGGACCAAGAGAGGGAAUAAUGCCAUCUUCGUUGUGAUCGACCGACUUUCCAAAGUAGCCCACUUCCUACCUGUUCGAGAGAGUAUCACCGCUAGCCAGCUAGCCAAGUUAUACAUCUCCCGAGUAGUGUCUCUUCAUGGUGUUCCAUUGGAAAUUAACUCAGACCGUGGGAGUCUCUUCACCUCUCAAUUUUGGGAAAGUUUCCAAAAUGCUAUGGGAACUCAUCUCUCCUUUAGCACUGCCUUCCAUCCUCAAUCAAGUGGUCAAGUAGAGCGAGUCAAUCGAAUUCUGGAAGAUAUGCUCCGAGCUUCUGUCAUCUCGUUCGGAAUAAGUUGGGAGAAAUGCCUUCCAUUCGCGGAGUUUGCUUAUAACAAUAGUUAUCAAGCCAGCUUAGGCAAGGCUCCUUUUGAAGUUCUCUAUGGACGAAAAUGUUGAACGCCUCUUAACUGGUCAGAAACCGGGGAAAGACAACUCUUUGGCCCGGAUAUGAUUCAGGAAGCAAAAGAGCAGGUUCGCGUUAUUCGUGAGAAAUUGAAAACAGCCCAAUCUCGUCAAAAGAGUCAAUAUGACCGUAAACAUAAGCCUAUGACUUAUGAAGUCGACGAGAAGGCUUAACUUCGGGUUACUCCGUUAAAUGGAACCCAUCGUUUCGGUAUCAAAGGCAAAUUGGCCCCUCGUUACAUCGGACCCUUUCGCAUUCUUGCCAAACGAGGAGAAGUUGCCUACCAAUUGGAACUACCUCUGCAUCUUUCCAGAGUUCACAAUGUCUUCCACGUUUCACAACUCAGGCGUUGCUUCGCGGAUCCUAUCCGUGAAGUGGACCACGAAACGCUUGAUCUACAAGAUAACCUCUCUUAUCGGGAAUAUCCCGUUCGUAUCCUUGAUCAAGCCGAGCGUACCACUCGACGCCAUAAUAUGAAGUUUCUCAAGGUUCAAUGGUCACAUCAUUCCGAGGAAGAAGCCACUUGGGAAAGGGAGGAUCGUCUUCGACUCGAGUACCCCACCUUCUUUCCAGAGGAUCCUAAAUCUCGGGACGAGAUUCUUUUGAGUGGGGGUGAGUUGUCACACCCUAGCUAGUCCAUGCAUUAGAAUGUGCAUCAUGUUUAAAUUUCUCUUAAAUUUGAAAUGGGGAAAGCAGAAACCCCCAACACCCCCCUGGAAAAACUAGGGUUUACUAAAAUUAUUUUCAGUGAACCUGAAAUGCCCUUCUAAAUAGUUCACCCUUUUGUCUUGGGUUAGAACCUCUCGCAAAAUUGGUGCACAAUUUUCUAGGUCAACAGAAGGUCUUUGAAUUAAAUCAUAAGUAUUUGAAUUUGGGCAUUUAAAUGCUAUAAAAUAAUUUAAAUGCUCAAAUAAUUCUGGGAGUAAAUGUUUCCUGUUGGAAAUAUUCUAAACAGAGGCCACAUUUAUUUUCAGGAUUUUUGGAAAUGCUCUAAUAUUUUAAAUAAAGCUAAACAGUUGCAGUUUAAUAGAAAACAGAAACUAAAACAAAAAAAGAGAAAGAAGCCCACCUGGGCCUUACCUGGCUCGGUCCAGCCUACUGGCUCGGUCAGUCACCCCCUACCUCGCGCCAGGAGGCAGGGGCGCGUGCUCGCCGCGCGCCGGCCACGCGCCGGCCACCUCCUGCUUCUGCCGACGCCGGGAGAUGCCCAGAGGAUGCCACGCGACCCCCAUGUCUCCCUCUCAUCCUGGCUCACUCCCCCCCUCGUCUCCCUCUCUCUCUCCCACGAGGGCCGAGCGCGUACCUCGCCGCCGAUCGCCGUAGCUGCCACCAUAGCCACUCCCUCGCCCCUCCGACGAGCCCAUUAGCUCCGCCUCGACUCCCUCGUCCUUCCCACCGAGCCACGCAUCACCGGAGGCCCUGCAUCGCCGCCUUCGCCCUCGUCUUCAACCUCGGGCACCCGAGCCAUCUCCGGUCGAUUCGCUGCCGCCAGGACCUCCCCGAGCCCGCUGACCCCCUCUCCGACUCCGCUGUGAGCUCCUCUUCCUUUCCCCCUAGCUCCCGUGCUCGUUUGGCCCCUGUAGCCGCCGUUUCCACCGCACCCGAGAGCUCCUCGCCGCCGGCCAUGUCACCGUCGUGGCUACGGCCGUGCAAGCACGCGUCCGAGCACACCACCGCAUUCAGUGCGACCCCAGGAGCCUAACGCACGCACUUCCUAGCCCUACCGUGCACCGUACCCCCUUUUCCCUCUCUGCCCGAACUCCGGCCGCCGCCACGAGCUCGAUUCCGGCGAGCUCGCUCCACUCCAGCUCCUCACACUUGCUCCUUUGGAUGCGCGAGAGCCUGGGCUUCGCACGGGUGGUCUCCGCCGUCGAUUUGGUCGCCUGAGGGCGUUUUCCGAAGCCCUCCGCCGUCUCGUCCUCGCCGGCGACUCAACGCCGGUGGGAUUAGCCCUGCUGACCGGUGGUUUGACCACUGACGUGGACUGGGUGGGGCCAGGUUGACUCCUUUGAGUCAAUGACAAGUGGGCCCCCCUCUGCUAAUUAUCUAGAUUAGUUUCUAACUAAAAUUAGUUAGUUUAAUUAGUAUAGUCACUGACUAGUGGGCCCUGCCCAGUAAUUAGGCUAACUAAACGUAGUUAGAGCAGUGAGAGGCUGACAGAAGGGGCCCACCAGUCAGGUUUGACCUGGGCUGGCGCCUUUGACCUGCUGAGGUCAGCAUGACGCAAUGCUGACGCAGUAAUGCAUUUACUGGAAUUAUUUUUAUACAGGAAAUUCUAGAAAAUAGUUCAAACUUCAAAAAUUCAUAGAAAUUCAACCGUAACUCCAAAUGAAAUAAUUUAUAUAUGAAAAAUUAUCAGAAAAAUUCAAUCUAUCCAUCUGUAAUGGUUUCAUGCAUGACAAAAGAAGUUUACAUUGCUGUUUAAGCAGAAUAAGGAAAUGCACUAUCAAGGCCAUGUUUAAUGAGCUAAUAUUUGAAUCUUUGAUUCAAACGAGUUCAUUCCUUUCUGUUAUAACUUGCAUUAGGCCAAGACACAUUCAUAUUGCCAUGUCAUAGAAUGCAUCAUAUUGUUGCAUAUCGUCAUGUGUUGAUUGUGCUCCGAUGUGUUCUUCGUGGUAGGUUCUGCCUCCGAGGAUAUUCACGAGUAUCCAACUAAAGGGCAGUAUCCCACUACCACUCCAUCAGGCAAGCAACCAUUGAUCAUUCCGAUACAAACCCAUGUUCUCGCUUCUGCUCUUGCUUACUACAUUAAGACAAUGCGAUUCAAACUGUUGUGUGCUACGGUAGUUGAACCCUUAUCCUCUGCAUGACCUGUCAUUGCCGCAGUAACUAGAUGAAACCCACUAGCAUGUGUAGGAGUUGAUUGAGCCAUGUAUGUGAUUCCUACCUUGCUAUGCCUGCUAUGCUUAGAGUUGUGUCAGGUCUGGUUCAUUUGGGAGAUGGGCUAGAGUGAAAUGCUUAUGUCCGUAAUGUGAGGGAUGCGUUGAACAUGUUUUGGUAAAGGUAUCGAUGAGAGGCCAUGUAGGAGUACAUGGUGGGUUGUUUCAUUGAGGCCGUCCCUAAGAACUGAGAUCUGUAUGUGUGAUUUAAGAUUCAGCUACUACCAUGCAUUGGGAUCCUUAACUGACCCUCUCGGCUUCUUAAUCACCCUAGUACUCUGUCCAGGAGUUGCAAUUAGUUUCUGGUGUUUGUAGGUUAUGUGUUGGCAGCCGUGCGUAGCGCUGACCCUAGGGGUGGGCUAUGUUGCGGUAGAUACACCGUGGUCGGGUAUGCCGGGCGCCCGUUUGGCGUCUCGGGACCCUGUUCACAUCGUUCGGGGCCGUAUGUGGAAACCUCGGCUGGACUCCCUGCGGAUGGAACCUGUGUAUGAUCGAAAGUAUGUCUAGAGGGGGGUUAUUAGACUACUUGACAAAAUAAAAACUUAACCUUUUCCCAAUUUUAGUCCUUGGCAGAUUUUAGCUAAUUUAGGACAAGUCAAGCAAUCAUCACAUGAUUCAAGCAAGCAUCCAAAGAGUAUAUAGGCAGCGGAAAGUAAAGCAUGCAACUUGCAAGAAUAUAAAGGGAAGGGUUUGGAGAAUUCAAACGCAAUUGGAGACAGGAUGUUUUUCCCGUGGUUCGGAUAGGUGGUGCUAUCCUACAUCCACGUUGAUGUAGACUUCAACCCACGAAGGGUAACGGUUGCGCGAGUCCACACAGGGCUCCACCGACGAAGGGUCCACGAAGAAGCAACCACCCACAAAGGGUCCACGAAGAAGCAACCUUGUCUAUCCCACCAUGGCCAUCGCCCACACAGGACUUGCCUCACUAGCGGUAGAUCUUCACGAAGUAGGCGAUCUCCUUGCCCUUACAAACUCCUUGGUUCAACUCCACAAUCUUGUCGGAGGCUCCCAAGUGACACCUAGCCAAUCUAGGAGACACCACUCUCCAAGAAGUAACAAAUGGUGUGUAGGUAAUGAACUCCUUGCUCUUGUGCUUCAAAUGAUAUUCUCCCCAACACUCAACUCUCUCUCAUAGGAUUUGGAUUUAGUGGAAAGAAGAUUUGAGUGGAAAGCAACUUGGGAAGGCUAGAGAUUAAGAUUCAUAUGGUAGGAAUGGAAUAUCUUGGUCUCAACACAUGAAUAGGUGGUUCUCUCUCAGAACAUAUGAGUUGGAAUGGUGUGUGUGUUCUGAUGGCUCUCUCCCCGAAUGAAGAGGAGGUGGAGGGGUAUAUAUAGCCUCCACACAAAAUCCAACCGUUACACACAGUUUUCCAAUCUUGGUGGGACCGAAUCAACAAACUCGGUCGGACCGAAAAUGUAAACCUAGUGACCGUUAGAGAUUUUCGGUGGGACUGACAUGCAACUCGGUGUGACGGAUAUGGUUAGGCUUUCGGCAUAACAUAAUCUCGGUGAGACCGAUUACACAAACUCGGUGAGACCGAAUUUGGUAAUUAGCUAACCAGAGAGUUGGUCAGGCAAACUCGGUGGGACCGAUUUGCUCUUUCGGUGAGACCGAGUGGAACUCGGUGAGACCGAAAAGUUACAAAGGGGAAACACUGAGUUUACAUUGCAAUCUCGGUGGGACCGAUUCGCUCUUUCGGUGAGACCGAAAAGUUACGAAAGGGAAACAGAGAGUUUGCAAUCCCAUCUCGGUGAGACCGAGAUCCUUAUCGGUAGAACCGAAUUGCUAGGGUUUGGCAGUGGCUAAUGACAAGUGAAACUCGGUGGCGCCGGAUAGGAAGAAUCGGUAGGACCGAGUUUGGCUUAGGGUUUAGGUCAUAUGUGGAUAUGGGAAAGUAGUUGAGGGUUUUGGAGCAUAUCACUAAGCACAUGAAGCAAGAGGCUCAUUAAGCAACACCUCAUCCCUCCUUGAUAGUAUUGGCUUUUCCUAUGGACUCAAUGUGAUCUUGGAUCACUAAAAUAUAAAAUGAAGAGUCUUGAGCUUUUGAGCUUGAGCCAAUCCUUUGUCCUUAGCAUUUUGAGGGUUCCACUUUCACAUCCAUGUCAUGCCAAUCAUUGAGCUUUCCUGAAAUAAUCAUCUUGGAAUAGCAUUAGCUCAAUGAGCUAUAUGUUGUUAUGAAUUACCAAAACCACCUAGGGAUAGUUGCACUUUCAAUCUCCCCAUUUUUGGUAAUUGAUGACAACAUAUAGAUCAAAGCUUCGACAAAUGAUAAUAAGCAUGAAAUAUAUCAUCGCUUUGAGAAGUAUGUGAUAAGUAAGAGCUCCCCCUAAAUUUGUGCAUAUUCAAAAUUUGCUUUGGACUGCAAAUGCACAAGGAGUUAGAGUCAUGGGUUACUCUUCCAUGUCACAUACAUCUUGGUGGAGCGCUUAAAAUGAUAAGAAUGAAAUACAUGCACUCAUCACCAAGAAUAGUGAGUGAUCACAUAAGAUAGAUAAGAUAAUAGCAUUAAGCAAGCAUUAAGUGUAGCUUAUGAUCAAACACAUGAUCAUCAAUGUCUCACAAGCAUAGUAUCUCAAGCACUCAAAAGCAAACAAGUUUGAAAAACCACCAAAUAAAGCAAGAGAGAAAAGCAACACUCUCUCUCUCGAAGCCUAUGAUCUAUACAUCUUCCCCCCCUUUGGCAACAAUUUACCAAAAAGUUCCUAGAAAAUGCAUAGCACUAGAUCGAUGCUCAGGCUUGAUCUUCUGGUGGUGGUGGAGUCCAGAUCACUCCAAGGACGAAGGCUUCGGUAGAUGUUGAAGUAGACGCUGGAGUUGGAGCUGAAGUAGAUGCUGGAGCUGGUGGAACUGAGGCUGUGGCUGGUGCUGAGGUGGCGGCUCUGGUGUCAGCAACUGGCACGGCAGAUGACCUCGGGCCUCGUGGCACUCUGGCAAAGGCAUGAGUGGUAGUCCUGCCUCUCCUCUCCUGCAUGUCCUCCUGGAGCUGCUCCACUGCAGACUGAACUUCCGUUACUUUGACAUCCAAGUCAUAGAACUUCUGUUCCAUGAUUCUCUCUAGGCUCUGCUGAUUUUGAUUGAGGGUGGCCAGACUUUGCUCAAUCCUCAGCAUGGAUGCAAUCAAGUAACCAAGCUACUCUUGUUUGGUCUUCAAGAAGUAUUCAGAUGCCUCCUCUUGAGUUGGCAUCUUGGCAGCUUUCUCCUUCCUCGCCUUCUCCUUCUUUGCGUAAGCUUGUGCAGACGAUGGCUCGUUCUCAGUCAUGACAACUUGAUUGUCCUCAAAAUCUGGACGGAUGGGCAAAUGUUCCUUGUCCAAUAAAUAUAUGCCCGUGCCCAUCUUGGAGUUGAUGAGCUCCUGAAUUUGAGGGGCAUAUCCGCAACUCCUCUUCUGAUCUGCUGCAGUCCUCUUGAUUGUUUCCACUAUGAGGCUCAUCACCUUGAACUUCUGAGGCACAUCAAACACAUGUAGCAAGUUGAUAGCAUGGCCUCUGAUCAUCUUGUGAUCUCCAGACUUGGGCAGUAAGGUGUGCCUUAGUAUCCAAUUGAUCGUAGGCAGACCUGACAGAAGAUAAUGCACUGAGCCAAACUUGAAAGUAUCAAGUGCUUCAUUUGGGAUUUCCUUGUACAUAUUUGACAUUGAUUUGUGGUCCAUCUUCUUCUUGGCAUAUAUGUCCAUGUUGUCAUCAUGCUCCUCUGGGGCAUUAAUCAACUUUGCCCAUUCCUCAACAGUGGAUUGGUACCUCGUACCCUUAGACAUCCAUGUGAUCCUCCCAUCUGGAUAAAAAUGUGACGUGGAGUAGAACUGCAUUAUAAGCUCCUCAUUCCACUUUGUGAGCUUCUGCCCAACAAAGUCAGCUACUCCACAAGCUAUGAAGCUGUCUUGCACUCUAGGAUAGUGCUCUUCGUUGUCCUUGAUAUAUUGCCAAUCAACCCAUCGCAUAUCACAGACAAUGGGCUUCUUAUCUAGCAGCACUGUCUCAUAAAAAUCCUGUUGCUCCUUGGUGUGAAAUCUGUAGUCCACGGCAGUCCUUCUCCUUGAAGCAUACGGGUCUGCUUCUCUCCACUUCCUCAGCCCUGAAUCUCUCCUGAGCUUCAUAUCCUCAGCCACAGGAUGAGCAUCGUUGUGGUCUGGGAUCUUGGGCUUUAGCUUUCUCAGGACAUUCUCUUCCUCUUCUUCUGCAACAGUCUCAGGCACUGGGGCCUUGUUCUUCUCAGCUGCAGGAAUGCUCCUUGUAUUCCUCUUUGGUUUUGGCUUGGAGGCAGCUUUGGGCUUAGAUGCAGUAGCCCCUGACCUUAUGGCAUCACCCAUCAGCUUGGGUGCCUUGGGUGCUGGUGCAGCUACCUCUUCUUCCUCUUCCUCUUCCAUGAUGGAAGCUUUUCCUAGCACGCUGGCUACGGUCUUCUUGACCCUUUCCUUCCUCUUCUUGCCUUAUGCAGCAACUGGCUCUUGGGGAGUGGGCUUCUCAGUUGAGGCUCUUGCCUUUGACAUGGGCUGCCUGCUUGCUGGCCUUUUGAUUUUCAGCCCUGGCUUUGUGCCUUGAGCUGGCUCAACUCUCUUGGAAGUGGCCUCUUCCUCUGUCACAUAGUCCUCAUCUUCGGAAUCUGAAGUCCUCUUCUUCCUCUGUCUCGUGGCUGCCUUUGGCAAGUUGCUAGGGGUGCUCCUGCUGCCCUCAUCUGAAGAACUUGAGGGACUAGUGCCCUCACUCAUGUGCAUCUGCUGCUCUGACAUGUUUUGGCUAUCACUUUGAUCAGACAUGCUGCAAACUGAUUGCUGACCCUGUGAAUAGAUUAUAGAUGAGGUAGAAAGGAUGAGCAUCACAAAAUACAGAGAUUUUUGCAAAAGAAUGAUCCAAAAACUUAGUUUUAGUUUCCCACUGAAAUCAUCUCGGAUCUACCGAUUUUCAAACUCGGUGAUACCGAAGCAGUUUUGGAACCUAAACUAGUGAACUCGGUAGGACCGAGUCACAGUUCGGUGGCACCGAGACUGCUAGGGUUUCACAGAGUUCCAAAAUCGGUCACACCGAUAAGUAAUUCUCCGUCAGACCGAGUCUCACUUGUGCAAUGGCAUAAGCCAAAUCGGUGGGACCGAGUUUUUCAACUCGGUGGGUCGGAGAUGGUUUCGGCGGAGACCUAAACCUAGAAUUUUCGAAUCAAACCUAAUCUAUGAGCGUUUUGACUGGAUAGGAGUGUUUCAAUCGUGGCAAGAAUCAUGAAGAUCACAAUGUGCUAGGAAUCAGAUUGGAGAAUAGCACAAAGAUCAAGUCCAUACCCUAGUUCGCGGGGACUUGCUACGGCGGCAACGGUGGGGCAGAAUUCCCGUUGACGGCGACGGAGACCAGCGACUGGAGGCGGCUGGCGGCGAGAAGAUGAUCCGGAGACCAUGAGGGCAGAGCAGGCUAUCGCGCGGGCGAAGGGGUUCGGAGAAAUUUCCAAAAUUUUGCCCUUGACUAUAUAUAGCCCGACCCUGUCGGUGUGACCGAGUGGAACAACUCAGUGGCACCGAGAUUCAUGACUGCAAGCAGUUACUGAAACUCAGUGUGACCAAAAGGUUCAAAUCGGUUGCACCGAGAUCGAAAACCUAGAUCAACUUAAUGAUCUCGGUAGGACCGAAAGUGGAGUAUCGGUCAGACCGAGAAUCAUAAAGAGGUUUUGGAAGUUUAAGUCUAUGACAAAUCGGGGACUCCGAGCGCUCCUCACACAGAGUCGUUCGAGUCUGACUUGAUCAAAUUUUGUGAUGCAGCAUGAAUAGAGUUUGAGACGAGAAAAGCAUAGAUAGCUAGAGGAGGUUCUUAGGCAUUCUUGUCCAUCCACUUGGCAAAAAGAAAUAAAGCCGAACAAUCAAAACAACAAGUGGAUGUCCUCGAAUGAGUAAAAUAUGCAUCCAGCAUGCUCACACAAUAAGAUGGCAAAUGAAAUAUGUGACAAGGCAUGCACAACCAAUUCUAGCAUCUAUCAAGCAAUUUGCGAUGACUAGGUCAUCUAUAUAUGAGUAUAUUGACUUAGGAGUCAAGUGAGAACACUUGAUCAUAGGUCAUACUCAUCGUUUAAGCUCAAGUGGGGUUACCACUUUUACAUAAAGCAUUGUUGUGUUCACAUCUUUAGAGUUGCUUUAGCUCAAGUCUUAGAGUAAAGCUCCCCCUAGAUGUGAUAUCCCCCCUAAGAGGGAUGAACUAACCUUGGGUUUUGUCGAUGAUGACUUCAUGUAGAUAUUGAAGAUGUGGAUGCUCAAUGUUGAUGUAGAUCUCUUGGAGCUAUCCAUUUGAGUGAAUUGCACUUUCAAUACCUACAUGGGUUAGUCCCACAAGGAACAAACAAGGAUAUCCAUAGACAUAGAGUGAUGCACACACAAGAUGAUGUCCAUGAAAACUUUUAGGUUACCUUGUCCCUUGUCUUACCAACAAGAGGGUUUGUGACUCCUUGAACUAGUGCAAGAUGUGGAAGUUGAUUGCACUUGUUCUUGCCAAAAUGAUAAGAGUGAAGUAUGUUGGUGGAGUCACCCUCGAGAACUCUCUAGUUCUUCUUCUUUUGGAUCCACACCAUCUUGAUGGGAAUCCUUGGAGUUGUAGUCGUACUUGAUGAAGUGGAACUUGAAGUAGUCUUGGGAAUCCACUUGACUAAGGUCUUUGGAGUUUCUUCAAAUGCAUCAAUUUCCUCUUGAAGCUUGUCCUUGCCUUUUUGCUUGUAGUCUUGUGGUGGAAGAUCAUCUUGAGCUUGUGUCCCCUUGAAAGAAGUAUCAUACUUCUCUUGUUGAGGAAUAAACUUUGUCUUGGGGUAUUGAUCUUCUUCCCACUCAACUCCAUUGGCAUUGAACUUUCGUUCAAAACCAACACCUUGAUUCUUUCGGUGCAUUCCUUGCUUGCGCACAAUUUCCUCGAAUUGCUUACUCCCAGUAAGGCUUUUGUACACUCCUUUCUCUAUAAUUCCCUUCAAUAAACUAUUUUCUUGCUCAAGUGUAACUUGGCUAAGAGAAUCAUUAGUGGAAUCAAGAGAACUACUAGAAGCAACAAUAUUGGAUUUAACAUGAUCAUUGUCACUGCUAGAGGAAGAAUCUUUCUUGUUACUAGACUUGACUUGAGGCAUGUAAGUGGAUAAGAGUAAACGCUUGGCAAUGUAAGAAGAACUUUUCUUGCGGAGAUCAUCAUUGAUUGCUUUUAAGAACUCAUGCUCUUGCUCAAGAUUGAGCUUCUCAAAGCGUAAUUUCUCAUGAGCUCUUAAAAGUUCUCGAUGAUCUUCGAAGAUGGUUUCAUGAGCUAACUUAAGAGUGUUUAGUUCUUUAGUUAGGGCCUCAAUCUUCUCCUUAUCAUUGUCAUUCGUUUUAUCUUGAUUAGCAUGUUUAAUUGACAUUUCAUCAUAGUAUUCAUCACUAGAGUUGUCACCAAGCAAAUCAUCACCUAACAAGUCAUCUUCAUCACUAUUGAAAUCAACAUACUCGGGGUGUGUUACCUUAGGACCUUUGGCCAUGAAGCAUCUUCCAAUUCCUUCAUUUGGUGAGUCAAAUAUGUCGUAGGAGUUGGUUGACACAAGUGCUAGACCGGCAACACCUUCAUCUUGAGUAUCUUCGGAGUCAGAGUGAUAACUUCUCUCGGAGUGGCUGUCGGAGUCGGAGCCGGAUACCCAUUCACCAACAUGAGCUUGAUGUCUUCGUUUUGUGUAGCUCCUUGAUGAUUUUUCCUUCCUUUCCGAAUCCUUGCUUCUCCGUGAGUAUCUUCGUUCAUAACGAUCAUCUCUACUCCUUCUCUCUCUUGGUGGUGAUUCUUUGCUUCUUCUUUUUGGAGAAUCUUCUCUUCUCUUGUAGGGAGCCGUACACUCAUUGGAAUAGUGUCCGGGUCUUCCACAACUGUAGCAGUUUCGCUCUUGACUAGAAGAUCUUUUGUCAUUGUAGGACCUUGACUUGAAGCUUCUAUCUUUGCUUCUACUCUUGUAGAACUUGUUGAAGUUCUUCACCAUUAAGCUCAAUUCUUCAUUGAAGUUUUGUUUCUCACUUGAUGAUGUAGGGGCUUCACAUGAGGCUUUGUAGGCACCAGUUGAUUUGUUGUGAAGUUCCUCUUUAUCCUUAAGUGACAUCUCAUGAGCAACAAUUCUUCCAAUCACCUCCGUUGGCUUGAGAUCUUUGUAAUUGGGCAUCAUUUGGAUCAAUGUGCACACGGUAUCAUAUUUUCCAUCCAAGGCUCUUAGAAUCUUCUUGAUGAUGAAUCUAUCGGUCAUCUCUUCACUUCCUAAGCCGGCAAUCUCAUUUGUGAUGAGAGCAAGCCUAGAGUACAUUUCAGCGACACCUUCACCAUCCUUCAUCUUGAACUUGUCAAGUUGGCUUUGAAGCACAUCCAACUUGGAUUCCUUGACGGAGUCGGUACCUUCGUGCAUAUCAAUCAAAGUGUCCCAAAUUUCCUUUGCAUUCUCAAGACGGCUGAUUUUGUUGAAUUCUUCGGGGCACAAUCCAUUGAAGAGAAUAUCACAAGCUUGAGCAUUGUAUUGCAACAUCUUCAACUCAUCCACGGUAGCUUCACGGUUUGGUUCUCUCCCAUCAAAGAAGUCACCUUGCAAACCAACACACAAAAUAGCCCAAACGGCGGGGUUAUGUCCAAGAAUAUGCAUUUUCAUUUUAUGCUUCCAACUAGCAAAAUUAGUACCAUCAAUGUAAGGACCUCUACGGUGAUAAUUUCCCUCGCUAGACGCCAUACUCUCCUAGGUUGUAAAACCAAGGCUAUGACCACCAAAAGCUAUGGAGAUCAAAGCAAAUGGAGACCAAAGCUCUAAUACCACUUGCAGGAUCGAAAGUAUGUCUAGAGGGGGGUGAUUAGACUACUUGACCAAAUAAAAACUUAACCUUUUCCCAAUUUUAGUCGUUGGCAGAUUUUAGCUAAUUUAGGACAAGUCAAGCAAUCAUCACAUGAUUCAAGCAAGCAUGCAAAGAGUAUAUAGGCAGCGGAAAGUAAAGCAUGCAACUUGCAAGAAUGUAAAGGGAAGGGUUUGGAGAAUUCAAACGCAAUUGGAGACACGGAUGUUUUUCCGGUGGUUCAGAUAGGUGGUGCUAUCCUACAUCCACGUUGAUGGAGACUUCAACCCACGAAGGGUAACGGUUGCGCGAGUCCACACAGGGCUCCACCCAAGGGUAACGGUUGCGCGAGUCCACACAGGGCUCCACCCACGAAGGGUCCAUGAAGAAGCAACCACCCACAAAGGGUCCACGAAGAAGCAACCUUGUCUAUCCCACCAUGGCCAUCGCCCACACAGGACUUGCCUCACUAGCGGUAGAUCUUCACGAAGUAGGCGAUCUCCUUGCCCUUACAAACUCCUUGGUUCAACUCCACAAUCUUGUCGGAGGCUCCCAAGUGACACCUAGCCAAUCUAGGAGACACCACUCUCCAAGAAGUAACAAAUGGUGUGUAGGUAAUGAACUCCUUGCUCUUGUGCUUCAAAUGAUAGUCUCCCCAACACUCAACUCUCUCUCAUAGGAUUUGGAUUUAGUGGAAAGAAGAUUUGAGUGGAAAGCAACUUGGGAAGGCUAGAGAUCAAGAUUCAUAUGGUAGGAAUGGAAUAUCUUGGUCUCAACACAUGAGUAGGUGGUUCUCUCUCAGAACAUAUUAGUUGGAAUGGUGUGUGUGUUCUGAUGGCUCUCUCCCCGAAUGAAGAGGAGGUGGAGGGGUAUAUAUAGCCUCCACACAAAAUCCAACCGUUACACACAGUUUUCCAAUCUCGGUGGGACCGAAUCAACAAACUCGGUCGGACCGAAAAUGUAAACCUAGUGACCAUUAGAGAUUUUCGGUGGGACUGACAUGCAACUCGGUGUGACCGAUAUGGUUAGGGUUUGGGCAUAACAUAAUCUCGGUGAGACCGAUUACACAAACUCGGUGAGACCGAAUUUGGUAAUUAGCUAACCAGAGAUUUGGUCAGGCAAACUCGGUGGGACCGAUUUGCUCUUUCGGUGAGACCGAGUGGAACUCGGUGACACCGAAAAGUUACAAAGGGGAAACACUGAGUUUACAUUGCAAUCUCGGUGGGACCGAUUCGCUCUUUCGGUGAGACCGAAAAGUUACGAAAGGGAAACAGAGAGUUUGUAAUCCCAUCUCGGUGAGACCGAGAUCCUUAUCGGUAGAACCGAAUUGCUAGGGUUUGGCAGUGGCUAAUGACAAGUGAAACUUGGUGGCGCCGGAUAGGAAGAAUCGGUAGGACCGAGUUUGGCUUAGGGUUUAGGUCAUAUGUGGAUAUGGGAAAGUAGUUGAGGGUUUUGGAGCAUAUCACUAACCACAUGAAGCAAGAGGCUCAUUAAGCAACACCUCAUCCCUCCUUGAUAGUAUUGGCUUUUCCUAUGGACUCGAUGUGAUCUUGGAUCACUAAAAUAUAAAAUGAAGAGUCUUGAGCUUUUGAGCUUGAGCCAAUCCUUUGUCCUUAGCAUUUUGAGGGUUCCACUUUCACAUCCAUGCCAUGCCAAUCAUUGAGCUUUCCUGAAAUAAUCAUCUUGGAAUAGCAUUAGCUCAAUGAGCUAUAUGUUGUUAUGAAUUACCAAAACCACCUAGGGAUAGUUGCACUUUCAACCUAGAUAGGCGAUAAACCUGGACUAGAGACUUAAGUGUUUAGGUAGGCCGUGGCCGACACCCUCGCUGGGCUUCCGCUUGAAGGUUGCCGAGUACAUGUCGUGUAAACGGAGAUAAGUGGUGAAAGCGUGUAUGACGAAGUACACCCCUGCAGGGUAUAAACUAUUCGAAUAGCCGCGUCCGUGGUAAAGGACUACUUGGUUGCCUAUACAGUUCAUAGACAAGUUAAUGGAUACUACUAAAAGACUCAAGAUAAGUGUGAGUACCGAGGAUGGCCCUCUCGUAGGAUGACGAGGGAGGAUCCCCGGUGGAGUAUUGUGUUGGUGAGUAGUGGACUCGUGUGCGAAAACUAUUUACUGGUGGAGUUCCGUAGGAUAGCUUAGCCAAGAGUCAAAGCUGGCUUGCUGCAUCAACCCCACCGCCUUCUUGAAAAUAAGCAUGUAUAGUAGGUUCUGAUGUAAGACUUGCUGAGUACCUUUGUACUCAUGUUUUCUUAAUUACUGUUUCAGACGACACCGCCCACUCCGAUGGGUUCUACGUAGACCUUGACAUCGACGAGUGACUAGCCACCCAGGUGGUGAUCCUGGCCAUGGAGGGCUUUAUGUAGAUAGACAGGCUUCGAGAAGCCUUCUUUCUUUCUAGAGUCUGUACUCAGACUAGUUGCUUCCGCAUGUGCUUAUAUGUUUGUAUGACUUGAGUGUCGGGUCAUGUGACCCCUAUCUGUAUGAACAUGUUAUGUAUGGCUCUCUGGAGCCUUUAGAUAAAGUACUUGAGUUGUAGAGUUUUGUUGUGAUGCCAUGUUGUAUGUACUCAUAUCGGGCAUAUUGUGUGUAUGAUUGAAAUGCUUGGUAUGAGUGGGAUCCGACAAUCUAGUUGUUUAUCCUUGGCAGCCUUUCUUAUGGGGAAAUGUAGUCUAGUGUUCCUCGAGCCAUAGUAAUCCGCUACAGCCCGGUUCACCGGAGUCCUGCUAGCCCAGCACUACUGUUCAGGACACUUGACUGGCCGGCAUGUGUUUCACUUCGUCCCUAUGUCUGUCCCUUCGGGGAAAUGUCACAUGGUGACUUCCGGAGUCCUGCCUAGCCUGCUACAGCCCGGGGUUCCCCGGAGUCCUGUCAGCCCAGUGCUACAGCCCAGAAUCACUCGUUGAUGACCGACAUGUUCGAUGUGAUUCAUGUAUGUCUGUCUCCAUAGGUCUGUGCCGCUUUGGGUUCACGACUAGCCAUGUCGGCCCGGGUUCUCUGUCAUAUGGAUGCUAGCGACACUAUCAUAUACGUGAGCCAAAAGGCACAAACGGUCCCGGGCCAUGGUAAGGCGACACCCGUGGGAUACCGUGCGUGAGGCCGCAAAGUGAUAUGAGGUGUUACCGGCUAGAUCGAUGUGACUUGGAAUUGGGGUCCUAAUAGUGUGCAUCCAACUCGCCUGGUCACGAAGACCUAGGGCAUUUGUGGAAGCCCAUCAUUGGAAUAUAAAAGCCAAGUUCUAUAAUGAAAAAUUCCCACUAGUAUAUGAAAGUGACAAAAUAAGGGACUCUCUAUUAUGAAGAUCAUGGUGCUACUUUGAAGCACAAGUGUGGAAAAAGGAUAGUAACAUUGUCCCUUCUCUCUUUUUCUCUCUCUCUUUUAUUUUUUUAUUUGGGCCUUCUUUCUUUUUUUUGCCUCUUUUCUCUUCUUUUUUUUCGUCCAGAGUCCCAUCCAGACUUGUGGGGGAAUCAUAGUCUCCAUCAUCCUUUCCUCACUAGGACAAUGCUCUAGUAAUGAUGAUUAUCACACUUUUAUUUUCUUACAACUCAAGAAUUACAACUCGAUACUUAGAACAAAAUAUGACUCUAUGUGAAUGCCUCCGGUGGUGUACCGGGAUUGCGAUGAAUCAAGAGUGACAUGUAUGAAAAAAUUAUGAACGGUGGCUUUGCCACAAAUACGAUGUCAACUACAUGAUCAUGCAAAGCAAUAUGACAAUGAUGAUGCGUGUAAUAAUAAAUGGAAUGGUGGAAAGUUUCAUGGCAAUAUAUCUCGGAGUGGCUAUGGAAAUGGCAUAAUAGGUAUGUAUGGUGGCUCUUUUGAGGAAGAUAUAAGCAGGCUUAUGUUUGAUAGAGCGUAUCAUAUCACGGGGUUUGGAUGCACCGGUGAAGUUUGCACCAACUCUCAAGGUGAGAAAGGGCAAUGCACGGUACCGAAGAGGCUAGCAAUGAUGGAAGGGUGAGAGUGCGUAUAAUCCAUGGACUCAACAUUAGUCAUAAAGAACUCACAUACUUGUUGCAAAAAUCUACUUGUCAUCAAAACCAAGCACUACGCGCAUGCUCCUAGGGGGAUAGAUUGGUAGGAAAAGACCAUCGCCCGUCCCCGAUCGCCACUCAUAAGGAAAGCAAUCAAAGAACACCCCAUGCUUCAAAUUUGUCACAUAACAUUCACCAUACGUGCAUGCUACGGGACUUCCCAACUUCAACACAAGUAUUCAUCAAUUUCACAUUUACUCAACUAGCAUACUUCUAAUAUUACCACCUUUAUAUCUCAAGACCAUCUAUCAAGCAUCCAACUUCUCUUAGCAUUUAAAAUUUAUAACCAAAGUGAAUUACCAUGCUGUUCUAAAGGACUCUCAAAAUGAUAUAAGUGAAGCAUGAGAGAUCAAUUAUUUCUAUAAAAUAGAACCACCGCCGUGCUCUAAAAGAUAUAAGCAAAGCACUAGAGCAAAAACUAUACAACUCAAAAGAUAUAAGUGAAGCACAUAGAGUAUUGUAAUAAAUUCCAAUUCAUGUGUGUCUCUCCCAAAAGGUGUGUACAGAAAGGAUUAUUGUGGUAAACUAAAAAGCAAAGACUCAAAUUAUACAAGACGCUCCAAGCAAAACACAUAUCAUGUGGCAAAUAAAAAUAUAGCUCCAAGUAAAGUUACCGAUGGACGAAGACGAAAGAGGGGAUGCCUUCCGGGGCAUCCCCAAGCUUAGGCUUUUGGUUGUCCUCAGAUUUUACCUUGGGGUGCCUUGGGAAUCCCCAAUCUUAGGCUCUUUUCACUCCUUGUUCCAUAAUCCAUCAAAUCUUUACCCAAAACUUGAAAACUUCCCAACACAAAACUUAAAAGAAAAUCUUCGUGUGCUCCGUUAGUAAAAGAAAGCAAACCACCACAUCAAGGUACUGUAAUGAAAUCAUUCUUUAUUUAUAUUGGUGUUAAACCUACUGUAUUCAAACUUUUCUAUGGUUCAUAAACUCUAUUACUAGCCAUAGAUUUAUCAAAAUAAGCAAACAACACACGAAAAACAGAAUCUGUCAAAAACAGAACAGUCUGUAGUAAUAUGUAGGUUUCGAAUACUUAUGGAACCCCAAAAAUUCUAAAAUAAGUUUCUGGACGUGAGUAAUUUAUCUAUUAAUCAUAUUCAAAAAGAAUUAACUAAAUAUAACUCUCCAAUAAAAAAUGGCAGCAAUUCUCGUGAGCGCUAAAGUUUCUGUUUUUACAGUAAGAUCAAAAAGACUUUCCCCAAGUCUUCCCAAUGGUUCUACUUGGCAUAAACACUAAUUAAACACAAAACACACAACCAAAACAGAGGCUAGAUAAAUUAUUUAUUACUAAACAGGAGCAAAAGCAAGGAAUAAAAAUAAAAUUGGGUUGCCUCUCAACAAGCGCUAUCGUUUAACGCUCCUAGCUAGGCAUAAAAGCGAGGAUAGAUCUAGGUAUUGCCAUCUUUGGUAGGCAAUCCAUAGGUGGCUCUCAUAAUAGAUUCAUAUGGUAAUUUAAUUUUCUUUCUAGGGAAGUGUUCCAUGCCUUUCCUUAACAUAAAUUGGAAUCUAAUAUUCCCUUCCUUCAUAUCAAUAAUUGCACCAAUUGUUCUAAGGAAAGGUCUACCAAGAAUAAUAGGACAUGAAGGAUUGCAAUCUAUAUAAAGAACAAUGAAAUCUACGGGCACAUACUUCCUAUUUGCAACAAUAAGAACAUCAUUAAUUUUUCCCAUAUGUUUCUUAAUGGUGGAAUCCGCAAGGUGCAUGUUUAAAGAACAAUUAUCAAAUUGACGGAAACCUAGCAAAUCACACAAAGCUUUUGGGAUCGUGGAAACACUAGCACCCAAAUCACACAAAGCAUAGCAUUCAUGAUCUUUAAUUUUUAUUUUAAUUGUAGGUUCCCACUCAUCAUAAAGUUUUCUAAGGAUAGAAACUUCCAACUCAAGUUUUUCUUCAUAAGAUUGCAUCAAAGCAUCAACGAUAUGUUUAGUAAAAGCUUUAUUUUAACUAUAAGCAUGAGGAGAAUUUAGCACAGAUUACAACAAGGAAAUACAAUCUAUCAAAGAGGAAUUAUCAUAAUGAAAUUCCUUGAAAUCCAAGAUAGUGGGUUUGUUGCUAUCUAAAGUUUUAACCUCUCCAAUCCCACUUUUAUCAAUCUUUGCAUCAAGAUCUAAAAACUACGAAUCAUUGGGACGCCUUCUAACUAAGGUUGACUCGUAUCCAGUCCCAUCAUUAUCAUGAUUCAUAUUGAAAAACAAAGAUUUAAUAGGGGACACAUCAAUAACUUUUAGAUCUUCAUCCUUAUUAACAUGAAAACUAGAAGAACACGCUUUUAUGAAGCAAUCUUUCUUACCAUGCAUCCUAGCGGUUCUUUCUUUGCACUCAUCAAUGGAAAUUCUCAUGGAUUUGAGAGACUCAUUGAUAUCAUGCUUAGGUGGAAUAGAUCUAAGUUUCAAAUAAUCAACAUCAAGAGAAAUUCUAUCCACGUUCCUAGCGAACUCAUCAAUCUUAAGCAUUUUUUCUUCAAUCAAAGCAUUGGAACUCUUUGCCGAACUAAUAAAUUCUUUAAUACUAGAUUCAAAAUCAGAGGGCAUCUUAUUAUAAUUUCCAUAAGAAUUAUUGUAGGAAUUACCAUAAUUAUUAGAGGAAUUACUAGGAAAUGACUUAGAAUUAAAAUUACCUCUAUGCGUGUUGUUACCAAAAUUGUUCCUACCAACAAAAUUCACAUCCAUAGAUUCAUUAUUAUUCGAAAUCAAUGUAGACAAAGGCAUAUCAUUAGGAUCAGUAGGAGCAAUCUUAUUAGCAAACAAUUUCAGAAGUUCAUCCAUCUUUCCACUCAAAACAUUAAUCUCUUCAAUUGCAUGCACCUUUUUACUAGUAGAUCUUUCAGUGUGCCAUUGAGAAUAAUUAACCAUAAUAUUAUCUAGGAUUUUGGUAGCUUCUCAUAAAGUGAUUUCCAUAAAAGUGCCUCCUGCGGCCGAAUCUAAAAGAUUUCUAGAAGCAAAGUUCAAUCCGGCAUAAAAAACGUGUAUAAUCAUCCAUAAAUUCAAACCAUGUGUAGGGCAAAUACGUAUCACUAAUUUCAUCCUCUCCCAAGAUUGUGCAACAUGAUCAUGAUCAAGUUGCUUAAAAUUCAUAAUAUCGUCUCUAAGAGAGAUGAUCUUAGCAGGAUGAAAACACUUAUAGAUAAAAGCAUCUUUGCACUUAUUCCAUGAAUCAAUACUAUUUUUAGGCAAAGAUGAAAACCAAGCUUUAGCACAAUCUCUAAGCAAAAAUGGAAAUAGCUUAAGUUAAACAAUAUCAUUAUCCAAAUCUUUCUUCUUUUGCAUAUAACACAAAUCAACAAAGUUGUUUAGAUGGGUAGCGGCUUCUUCACUAGGAAGGCCAGAAAACGGAUCUUUCAUGACAAGAUUCAGCAAGAUUCAGCAUCGGUAAGAGGAGCAAUCGGAGUGGUAAUAAAAUCAUUAUUGUUGGUAUUGGCAAAGACACACAAUUUAGUAUUAUCUUGAGCCAUUGUGACAAGCAAGCAAUCCAACACACAAGCAAACAAGAAAUAGGCAAAAGAGGCAAACUGGAAAAGAGAAGGGGAACGGAAAAAGAGGGCGAAUAAAACGGCAAGGGUGAAGUGUGGGAGAGGAAAACGAGAGGCAACUGGGCAAAUAAUGUAAUCUGAAGGGUAAGAGUUGUGAUAGGUAAUUGGUAUGUCUUGACUUGGCGUAGAUCUCCCCGGCAACAGCGCCAGAAAUCCUUCUUGCUACCUCUUGAGCACUGCAUUGGUUUUCCCUUGAAGAGGAAAGGGUGAUGCAGUAAAGCAGUGUAAGUAUUUCCCUCAGUUUUUGAGAACCAAGGUAUCAAUCCAGUAGGAGACCAUGCGCGAGUCUCCUUGUACCUACACAAACAAAUAAGAACCUUGCAACCAAUGCGAUAAAGGGGUUGUUAAUCCCUUCACGGCCACUUGCAAUAGUGAGAUCUAAAAGAGAUAAUAAUAAUAAGAUAAUUUUUUUGGGUAUUUUUAUGAUAUAGAUUGAAAGUAAAGAUUGCAAAAUAAAAUAGAUUGGAAACUUGUAUGAUGGAGAAUAGACCCGGGGGCCAUAGGUUUCAGUAGUGGCUUCUCUCAAGAUAGCAUAAGUAUUACUGUCGAGCAAUUGAUAGAAAAGCGAAUAAUAUGAGAAUAUCUAGGUAUGAUCAUGUAUAUAGGCAUCACGUCCGUGACAAGUAGACCGACUCCUGCCUGCAUCUACUACUAUUACUCCACACAUCGACCGCUAUCCACCAUGCAGCUAGAGUAAUAAGUUCAUAAGAACAGAGUAACGCAUUAAGCAAGAUGACAUGAUGUAGAGGGAUAAACUCAUGCAAUAUGAUAUAAACCCCAUCUUUUUAUCCUCAAUGACAACAAUACAAUACGUGUCGUUUCCCUUUUUGUCACUGGGAUCGAGCACCGCAAGAUUGAACCCAAAGCUAAGCACUUCUCCCAUUGCAAGAAAGAUCAAUCUGGUAGGCCAAACCAAAUUGAUAAUUCGAAGAGACUUGCAAAGAUAAACCAAUCAUACAUAAAAUAAUUCAGAGAAGAUUCAAAUAUUGUUCAUAGAUAGACUUGAUCAUAAACCCACAAAUCCGCUGAUCCCGACAAACACACCGCAAAAGAAGAUUACAUCGAAUAGAUCUCCAAGAGAAUCGAGGAGAACUUUGUAUUGAGAUCCAAAGAGAGAGAAGAAGCCAUCUAGAUACUAGCUAUGGACCCGAAGGUCUGAGGUAAACUACUCACACAUCAUCCGAGGGGCCAUGGAGUUGAUGUAGAGGCCCUCCGUGAUCAAUGCCCCCUCCGACGGAGCUCCGGAAAAAGCCCCAAGAUGGGAUCUCUUGGGUACAGAAGGUUGCGGCGGUGGAAAUAGGGUUUCAUGGUGCUCCUGGAUGUUUGCGGGUAUAUGAAUAUAUAUAUAUAUAUAUAUAUAUAUAUAUAUAUAUAUAUAUAUAUAUAUAUAUAUAUAUAUAUAGGAGGAAGAAGAAGGUCGGUGGAGCAACGAGGGGCCCACGAGGGGGGAGGGCGCGCCCCCUGCCUCGUCGCCGCCUCGUUGAUUUCUUGACGUCCACUCCAAGUCCUCUGGAUCACGUUUGUUCCAAAAAUCACGUUCCCGAAGGUUUCAUUCUGUUUGGACUCUGUUUGAUAUUCCUUUUCUGCAAAACACUGAAAUAGGCAAAAAAGCAGCAAUAUGGGUUGGGCCUCCGGUUAAUAGGUUAGUCCCAAAAAUAAUAUAAAAGUGUAAAAUAAAGCCCAUUAACAUCCACAACAGAUAAUAUAAUAGCAUGGAACAAUCACAAAUUAUAGAUACGUUGGAGACGUAUCAGGGGGGCACGCCCAGGGGGGGUGGGCGCACUCCGCACCCUCGUGGACAGGGUGUGGGCCCCCUUGCAUUGAUUCUUUCGCCAGUAUUUUUUAUAUAUUCCAAAAAUAUUCUCCGUUGAUUUUCAGGUCAUUCCGAGAACUUUUAUUUCUGCACAAAAAUAUCACCAUGGCAAUUAUGUUGAAAACAACGUCAGUCCGGGUUAGUUCCAUUCAAAUCAUUCAAGUUAGAGUCCAAAAAAAGGGAGAAAGUGUUUGAAAAAGUAGAUAUGUUGGAGACAUAUCACUCCUCACGACAACACGGUUGGGAUUGGCCUUUUCGGUUAUGAAGAAGCAUUGUGUCACGUGCUUAGUGUGUACCCAUGGCUCAUUUUUGGCGAUGACGUUAACGUUCAUGGGAGUGCUCUUCGCGUCGGGUAUAGACAUGGUGGUGAAAUAAUUGUUUUCUCUUACAAUGUCCUUGGCCCAUCUGACACAGAACAUUGUCGCAUCAUGCAUUCCAGCAUAGUCAAGCUCCCAGAUCUCUUCGACCCUUCCGUAGAAUCUUUCAAUUGUGUCGUUGGCAUCGGUCACACAUUGAAUUGACACCCCGGAGUUCUGGUAAUCACUGUCCAUGUGUUUGGCCUCCGUGCACAACAUGUACCCAUUGAUAUCGUUGGACUGAUAGGUCGCGAGCUUGCGCACGGGGCCAUGUGCUAAGGCGUGUAUGAGCAAUCCGUCCGAACUGCCCUCUUUCGGGGGAUUUUCAAGAACUUGCUCUUUAAACCAAUGCAAGAAAGUGGCGUUGUGCUCUACAGUAACUUCGUCGUCCGUAUUGAGCAUCCCCUUAUCACGACACUUCUUUGCGAUGGUUUCUUUGUGUUGUGCCACAUAAUCAUCUACCACAUCUAGGUGUUGUGGCACUACUAAGUUAGCCCUGUCAAAGUCGUUCUGUCCAUCCGAGUAGCCCAUGUGCAAUUCUCUCCCGUCGUUGUUGUGACCAUCUCCUUCGAGCUUCCCAUCGUGCUUCUUGACGGGCAAACCAACAACAGGGUCUUCGACGCUUAUAUAAUUCUCGCAAAAGGAGACGCACUCAUGCAUCAGAUACCCUUGGACAAUGCUCCCUUCGGGACGGGACAUGUUACGAAUGAAUCCUUUGAUGACCCCAUUCAUCCACUCGAACGGCAUCAUGUUGUGAAGGAAUGUCGGUCUGAGGUCGAUGAUGUCGUCCACGAUGUGGACACACAGAUGCACCAUGACGUCAUAGAACGCGGGCGGGAAGUACAUCUCAAGCUCACAUAGUAUGACAACAAUCUCUUCCUGUAGCCUUUGGAGCUGCUUCACACUUAUGGACUAUCGAGAUAUAAGGUCGAAGAAGUUGCAGAGACCAGUAAGCAUGUCAUGGACGUGCUUGUCCAUUAUCCCUCUAAUGGCAACCGGUAGUAUCUGCGUCAUCAUCACGUGACAGUCAUGAGACUUCAUCCCGCUGAUCCUUUUCUUCUUGGGGUCUAGAAAUCUGCUUAUCUUCCCACAGUAACCGGAACUGACUUUGAUUCCCAUAGGGCACUUGAUGAAUUGAUCGAUCUCCUUCACACUUAAGGUGAAGCAAGAAGGGGGAAAUAAUUCUCCUCGUUCUUGUUGACUUUUCUGCCCCUUUCCCCCUCCUCCAUCUCUAUCUCCGUCCCCUCCAUCAACUUUUUACGGUGGAGAUCUUUCCUGAUCUUCAAUUCUUCCAAGUCUUUCCUUGCCUUCGUCCCAUCCUUGGUCUUCUCCGGCAUGUUCAUCAGUGUGCCAAGAAAGCUCUUGAGGACAUUCUUCGUGAUAUGCAUUUGAUCAAGGCAACGAGGCGUGUCGUGAUUGGGCCAGAACUCCAAGUCCUAGAAAACAGACCUCGUUUUCCAUACCUUCAGCAGCUGCUCCGGCGCCUUUUUGAUCUUUCCCGGCGCAGGGCAUUGUUCCCAGUUUCUCAAUAGCUCAUUGAUUUCGGCGCUGCUCCUCUUACGUGGAGGUCCUCGAAGCUGAGCCAACCCAUUGAAUAGUUCUCCAUGCUUUCUCCACGGGUCAUCCUUCUCGAUCCAUCUAUGAUGUCCCAUGUAUAUGAUUUUCCCGGACCCGCCAUCUUUCAUUGAAGUAAGCUGCUGAGACGUUGUAUCAUCCAUGCACCUCGUAACCGAGAUAGUCAUGCACCAUCAUCAUCAGCGCGACUCUCAUAUGGAAAUAUUCUCCUUUGCUGGCGGCCCAUGUCCAUGCCGGUGUUUUCCAUAACGUGUCUAGCUCCUCUUGCAGAAGCCCCAUAUACAGGUUAAUACUAUUUCCCGGUUGUUUCGGCCCUUGAAUCAGCAUGCUCAUGUCUAUGUACUUUGUCUUCAUGCACUUCCAUGGGGGAGGUUGUACAUCCAUACAAACACGGGCCAUGUGCUCUGGUUCGUGUUCUGGUUUCCAAACGGAUUCAUGCCAUCGGUACUCGCACCAAGCACGAUGUUCCUUGGAUCUUCUGCAGCAAAUCCAUAUAUGGCGUUGAAUGCUCUCCACUGGCUACCAUCUAUGAGGUGUCUCAGCCUCGGAUCAUCUCCAUCAUCAGGUUUCUUCCUCUCCGUGCGCCAGCGCUUGAGCUUUGCUUCCUUAGGAUCUACAAAAUACCGCUGCAGACGGGGAGUGAUCGGAAAGUACCGUACAACUUUCUGAGGAGGUUUCUUUCUUGCCUUCUUGUAUCGAGAAGCAUUGCACACUGGACAGCUGGUUUUUUCCGUGUGCUCACCCCGAUAAAUGACGCAACCGUCGAUGCAUGCGUGGUACCUAAUGUGCGGCAAAUUAAAAGGGCAAACGAUUUUCUUGGCCUCCUCGACACUAGUAGGACACAGGUUCCCCGUGGGAAGAACUUUAUUAUGUAGAUAUUUCAAAUGCUCAUUGAGGCUUUUAUCUGUCCAUUUGUUUUUGGCCUUCAUCUUUAGAAGUUCGAGCAUGAAACUCAAGCGGGUCACCUCAGGAUCGCAACCGUCAUACAAUGGAGUCCUCGAGUCUACUUCAAGUUGCGCCAGCUUGGCCUCCUCUCUAGAAGCAGCUCUCUCGCUAGUCGCACUCUUGCGAAGGAGGUCUUGAACAUGAGGGUCCUGCACGAUUGCACUUAUUAGCAUCGAAGACUGCGGCGUGACCGCCGCCUCUACUCCGCCAUGUCUGGACUCUUCUUCGUCGUGUCUGGAAUCUUCUCCGAUGCCGUCAUUUCCGAACUCUUUCCCGCCGACAUGUCCGGCGCCAUCAUCUUCAUGUCGAUCGGUCAUCUCUUCGUCUGGCCCCAUGUCGUUAUUCCCUGCCAUGUGGACGUCCUCAUCAUCAUCUUAUUCACUUAGCCACUGAGUAUAGCCAUCCAUGAAACCAUUCAUCAGCAGGUGCGCCUUCAAAGUGCCAUGAUCAAAAGGGUCCAAAAGGACUCCUUCCUAGCAUCUUGCACACGAACAUCUAAUCCUAGUCCGAUUAUUGGCAUACAUGUCCAUCACCGCGGAUUGCAUGUACCGCUCCACCUUCCAUCCACUCGCCUUCAUGACCGACUGCACGNNNNNNNNNNNNNNNNNNNNNNNNNNNNNNNNNNNNNNNNNNNNNNNNNNNNNNNNNNNNNNNNNNNNNNNNNNNNNNNNNNNNNNNNNNNNNNNNNNNNNNNNNNNNNNNNNNNNNNNNNNNNNNNNNNNNNNNNNNNNNNNNNNNNNNNNNNNNNNNNNNNNNNNNNNNNNNNNNNNNNNNNNNNNNNNNNNNNNNNNNNNNNNNNNNNNNNNNNNNNNNNNNNNNNNNNNNNNNNNNNNNNNNNNNNNNNNNNNNNNNNNNNNNNNNNNNNNNNNNNNNNNNNNNNNNNNNNNNNNNNNNNNNNNNNNNNNNNNNNNNNNNNNNNNNNNNNNNNNNNNNNNNNNNNNNNNNNNNNNNNNNNNNNNNNNNNNNNNNNNNNNNNNNNNNNNNNNNNNNNNNNNNNNNNNNNNNNNNNNNNNNNNNNNNNNNNNNNNNNNNNNNNNNNNNNNNNNNNNNNNNNNNNNNNNNNNNNNNNNNNNNNNNNNNNNNNNNNNNNNNNNNNNNNNNNNNNNNNNNNNNNNNNNNNNNNNNNNNNNNNNNNNNNNNNNNNNNNNNNNNNNNNNNNNNNNNNNNNNNNNNNNNNNNNNNNNNNNNNNNNNNNNNNNNNNNNNNNNNNNNNNNNNNNNNNNNNNNNNNNNNNNNNNNNNNNNNNNNNNNNNNNNNNNNNNNNNNNNNNNNNNNNNNNNNNNNNNNNNNNNNNNNNNNNNNNNNNNNNNNNNNNNNNNNNNNNNNNNNNNNNNNNNNNNNNNNNNNNNNNNNNNNNNNNNNNNNNNNNNNNNNNNNNNNNNNNNNNNNNNNNNNNNNNNNNNNNNNNNNNNNNNNNNNNNNNNNNNNNNNNNNNNNNNNNNNNNNNNNNNNNNNNNNNNNNNNNNNNNNNNNNNNNNNNNNNNNNNNNNNNNNNNNNNNNNNNNNNNNNNNNNNNNNNNNNNNNNNNNNNNNNNNNNNNNNNNNNNNNNNNNNNNNNNNNNNNNNNNNNNNNNNNNNNNNNNNNNNNNNNNNNNNNNNNNNNNNNNNNNNNNNNNNNNNNNNNNNNNNNNNNNNNNNNNNNNNNNNNNNNNNNNNNNNNNNNNNNNNNNNNNNNNNNNNNNNNNNNNNNNNNNNNNNNNNNNNNNNNNNNNNNNNNNNNNNNNNNNNNNNNNNNNNNNNNNNNNNNNNNNNNNNNNNNNNNNNNNNNNNNNNNNNNNNNNNNNNNNNNNNNNNNNNNNNNNNNNNNNNNNNNNNNNNNNNNNNNNNNNNNNNNNNNNNNNNNNNNNNNNNNNNNNNNNNNNNNNNNNNNNNNNNNNNNNNNNNNNNNNNNNNNNNNNNNNNNNNNNNNNNNNNNNNNNNNNNNNNNNNNNNNNNNNNNNNNNNNNNNNNNNNNNNNNNNNNNNNNNNNNNNNNNNNNNNNNNNNNNNNNNNNNNNNNNNNNNNNNNNNNNNNNNNNNNNNNNNNNNNNNNNNNNNNNNNNNNNNNNNNNNNNNNNNNNNNNNNNNNNNNNNNNNNNNNNNNNNNNNNNNNNNNNNNNNNNNNNNNNNNNNNNNNNNNNNNNNNNNNNNNNNNNNNNNNNNNNNNNNNNNNNNNNNNNNNNNNNNNNNNNNNNNNNNNNNNNNNNNNNNNNNNNNNNNNNNNNNNNNNNNNNNNNNNNNNNNNNNNNNNNNNNNNNNNNNNNNNNNNNNNNNNNNNNNNNNNNNNNNNNNNNNNNNNNNNNNNNNNNNNNNNNNNNNNNNNNNNNNNNNNNNNNNNNNNNNNNNNNNNNNNNNNNNNNNNNNNNNNNNNNNNNNNNNNNNNNNNNNNNNNNNNNNNNNNNNNNNNNNNNNNNNNNNNNNNNNNNNNNNNNNNNNNNNNNNNNNNNNNNNNNNNNNNNNNNNNNNNNNNNNNNNNNNNNNNNNNNNNNNNNNNNNNNNNNNNNNNNNNNNNNNNNNNNNNNNNNNNNNNNNNNNNNNNNNNNNNNNNNNNNNNNNNNNNNNNNNNNNNNNNNNNNNNNNNNNNNNNNNNNNNNNNNNNNNNNNNNNNNNNNNNNNNNNNNNNNNNNNCAUAUUCUCAUUCACACACAUAUUCCCAUUCUUGAAAUGAACAACUUUUUACUCACCUAUAUAUAUAGCAUUAUUCUGAUCCCAGGAUCAGAAUAGUUAUUUGGAUCACGAUCGGCUAUAAGGGCCCGACAGUAGAUCGUGAGGAACCCACCAGAUCCCGAUCGGUACAAGGGAAAAAACACCACCCACCCGCUCCCCACAGCCCACUCCCCUUCCCUAACCUCUCCCGAUCUCACCACCGCCUCCCUGCCCGCGCUGCCAUUGGCCCGCACCAGAUCGCCUCGGCACAGCCGCCGCCCUCACUAGAUCGCCCCGCCACAGCCGCCGCCCUCACCAGAUCGCCCCGCCACCGCGGUCUCCCUCCUCGGUCGUGCCACCACCAUAGUUUCCCUCCCCAAAUCAUGCCACAGCUGCCACCUCCGGCCUCCUCUGCACAACACCCCUGCUCCUUGACCUUCGUGCGCGGCAUUGCGCCGUAACCGCCGCCGCCAUCCAACCCCAAACGCCAUUAACCUGGGCGCCCCCCUCCCGCUUGCUCCGACGCGGAUCCGGUCAACCCCGCAACUCUCCCCUCCGGUGAGCAUCCUCUUCUCCUUCUCUACCUACGGCGUCCCACCCCUUCCCUCACCUCCUUCCGUGUCCGCGGCAGCACACAAAGCCGUUCAACCCCACUGCCUCGGGCCGUUCAACGAUGCGGCACCAGGACGUUCAACCCCACUUCCAGGAUGCUCCGACGAGGCCGAGAUCUUUCCUCUGUUCACCCAACUCUCUCUCAGGGAGGAUUUGAACUUCUUUGAAUUUGAAAGAAAAUUGCUUGCAAUUUUUUUUUCUGUAUAUUUGGUUUCUGAAAAAUGCACUUGGAUGUGAUGGAUGAAAUUAGUUUGAGCAUAGUUGAACUACAGUUUGUUUACAAAAAGUUGUGAAAAUUGCAGGUUUGUUCGAAGCUGACGGCGCUCCAUAUGUGCAGCAGCACCGCUGCCGCUACAGCUAAUCAGCCACUGCUUGUCAGUACAGUUGCUGGCCCAUGCAUUACACACUUAAAAAGUGAUUCGUGGUGCCACCAAGAACCAUACAUCUGCAUGUUCUUAGCACUUCUUUCUCUCUCUCUAAUUAGUUCUCAGUGGAGGUAGUGCAUCAUCUGCCUUGUGUCAACUUGUUCAAACAGGUAUUAAUCUUGUGUACUAACCGAUUUAAUGGCCAAGUUUUUGUCUGGAUGUGAUGCUACUAAUCUAAUAUUUGAAAAGCUUUCCCAUAAGAUGAAUGUGUGGGUGGGGAUCCUCUGGCCGCACGACAACCACCAAACCCGCGUCGCAAGCCGCUGGGAUCCUGCCUCCAUGCAACCUUACUCCACAUGUUAUCGUGACCUUCCUCUACUUGCCGCCGUGACCAGCAGCGGCCAUGACCCUCCAAGCGCCGGCGCAGCUACACUCCACCGCUGUCGGUGGGCCGCCAACCACCACCACCUCAUACAACCCGAUAGCUCCCUCCACAAACUAGCGCCGCCUGCCCCCACUACAUCUGCCACCUCCUGUAGUCUCUGCACAGCGGCGGCACCUUCCCAUGUUGUAUACCCGCAUCCUCUACCUUCGUCUACAAGCGUCUCAAUCCCCAGCAACACCCCUGUCUGUGCAGAAUGCUUUUGUUCUUCAGUUUGGGAAGAUUUGAACUUCUGAAGAAACUUUAUUGAGAAACGACACCCACCAUCUUGGCAUUAAUCAAAUCCAGGUGAAAAAAUGAAGUAUUGCAUCAACAGAAAAGCAGACUACAAAAAAGAUAUUAUUUUGAAUGUGAACCUGCGUGCAUUAUAUAGAAAUUAUGGAUGUUACUUCUGUGGUACUCAUCUUACCAUACACGUACAAACACAUGUUACUCUUAUAGUACUCAUCUUCCCAUACAGGUACAGAAUAGAUGCAGAGAAAAUAGUAUGUGAAUACUGGUACAAACUCCAUUUUGCAUUAUUCUUGCCGUAGAUGACGGAUUGUUUGCUUUCAGGACUUGAAUCUUGGUUUUAUUGAGAAGGUGGCUUGUCGGAUGUUGUCGCCAUGGAUGACGACGGUGAUCUCGUUCUCAAUCGGAGAAUGAAGAGACACUGUAAGGUGUUUGUUUUGUGGCUAUAUUUCCGUUGUUGGUGUGUUACGAAUUUGAUUGAUGUUCCUUGGUUUGCAGGGAGAAGGGACGAGGAUCAUGUCCUCACCGUGCAGCAUGGCGUCACCUCUUCGCUCCGGAGCGUCGGUCUUCUUGCGGGAGAGCAUUCAGUGUCGGAUUUCCUACUAUGUAUCGUCCUUCUUUCAUUUGUGGUCCAUUGUUUUCUAUUGUUGGUUUACAGGUUUGGAAGGCAGCCAUGCUGCUAACCUGACUUUGUGUUGCACAAGAGCUUCACGUCGUCUGAAUGCGACGGUGUUACUGCCAUGGAGAUCGGUGUUGGGAUAGGUGAUGGCUUGCUAUGAAAUUUAGUGAAUGAGAAAAUUGACUUAUUGCUGUGCUUGUACAACUGUGUAAUUUUUCUGAUUUUUUAUUUGUUUUUGUGAAGGUCAAAAUGUUGUGUCCGAGAAGUUCAAGUAUGUUAGUUUAUAUUGUAUUAUUGAGAAGCUCCAACUUGUUGUAGGAGUGCAUUGAGAAACAGAGUGAAAAUAUCUAUAAAAAUGUAAGUUCGGGAGGAUUAAAAAGGAAAAGGAAGAAAGAAAAAGCUCACACUUUUGUCGUUGAUAUUUACAGUGACAAAUAAGCAACAAGUUCAUGUUUGUCAACCAUUGAAGUUCAUGUAUAUGGUAGUUGAUGAUUGUUG